AGUCUUACUAACAACCCUUACUUUUAUAUAUUUAACCUUCUUGUGAUUUAAUUACAUGUGUUUUAUUUUAAUUAAGUAUUUUAUGUAUUUUAGGGGCAUUAUAGUCAUUUCACAAUAAAGAAGAGAUCAGACGGCAAAACGGACAUCACUUUUGAACUCAGGACGGUCGAAAACCUUAGGAGGAGCAUAAAAGGAAAAAUGGCACUAUUCACAUGUACGGUACUAUUCACGUGUACGGUACUGUGUACGGUACUGUAUACGUUACUGUUCACGACACUGUUCACAUAGACGGAUGAUGACGUGGCAUUGACCGAUGAUGUGGCAUUGACUGAUGAGGUGUCACGAUCCUGUUGGACUAAAAUUCUUAUGUACUGUUGAUGGUGACGUGGCAGCAUAUCAGUGGACGAAAAAUCUCGCGUACGGUGCAUGCAUCACACAGGAUUAUUUUCAUCCAAACCGCGUUACUGUUCAUCCGGGUCAAACCGCGUUACUGUUCAAAGUCGGGUCAAACCGUGUUACUGUUCAUCCGCGUGGUCAAACCGUGGACUGUUGACUGAUGACGUGGCGCAAUCCUGAGCGUCCAAACUGUUUUUAAUCCGAUGGCCAUGAUUUACUCCAUGUAUCUAUAAAAAGGGGGCCUCCCCCCCCUAAUUUGAGAUCUCUGAAUCCAUUUUUGGGAUCCAUUUUCUGUAAUUCCCUCUCCAUCUUGUAUUUUCUUCGUAUUUUAAUAAAUUCCUAUUUUGCCCCUAGUUCAACUAUGAGUGGCUAAUUUUCUUUCAAGCUUGGGUUGAAGGUGAAGUCUCAACAUGUGUCAUGGGCUUAAUUUGGUAAAUUUAUUUUCUCUUCCCCUCUAAUUUUUGUGGAUGUUUUGACUUCUCGUCGACAAAUAAUAAUAGUCUUGUCUAGAUACCGCCUUGGUUACACCGGCUCUCUAGUAUAAGGUUAUUAUUAUUUGGCACGAUAAGCCCUUAGCACCAUAUUGAUUAGAGCGUGGUUCAUGAGGUGUGGAUUCCCCCCUCAUGAUUUAAUUGGCAUUAAUACGGAUUAUUUAGCCCAUGAUGCAUGUUGAUACGGAUCCGGAUACCCAAGUGCGUCAUUUCAAUAGAAUUCUCUUCAAUUUCUUCUCGCCAUUUCAAUACCAAUUUUAGAAUUUAUUCUUGCCAUUUUAAUUUAAGUUGUAGCAUAUUUCAAAUCAUUUCCACCAUAAUUCCAACCACCCAUUUACAAAAUUAAUUCUAUAUAUAAUUAAAAUCCACCUCCUCGUGGGAUCGACACUCGUCACCGUUGAUCUACACUACAAUAGAUUCGUGCGCUUGCGAGUACAUUAAAAUUUGCACAACAAUAAACAAGAGCAAACUUCUAUUUAUAUUGAACUUAUAUGUAUAACCAUAUUCCAAUGAGAAUUUUAUAUUUUCAAAAUUGAUUUAAUUUUGAUAUUUCUUUCAAAAUUGUUUUAAUUGUGAUCAUUGUACUGAAAUCAAAUACAAAAUAAGAAAAGAGUGGUUUAAAUAAUAAUGGCACGGGAGUGUUUACAUGUGUGAAGAAGAAAUAGGAGAUUAAGAUGGUAGACAAGGAAAAGAGAAGAGAUGACAUAAUUUAGGGUUAACAUCUAAUAGUUGCUAAUUAUUCUAUUUUAGUUAUUCAUUAAAUUGAUAUAUGGCGUUUAGGAAGAAAAAAUUAAAAGUAAAUUAAAUCUUACCCCUAGAUACACUUAAAUGGCAAGUGUCGUAAUCUCCCAUUAAUCUUGGGAAAAAUUAGAUUAGAAAUAGAAGUAAAAACAAUGAAAAUGGAGAGGAGAUAAAGAUUUCACCUGGUUCCCAUCAUUUCUUCGAAUAAAAAAUAAAUAUUAGAUUGUAAUUAUCCCCUGAUUGAAUAAAAAAUUAGAUAUCAAAUUAUACCCAUCUACUCCCCAAAUGAAAAUAAUCCCCAAAGAUCCCAUCCCCUUAGUAAUUUUUGACAUCCCUAAUUGGUGGUUUGCCCCAUGAUACAUGUAUCCUUGACAAAAAUAAAUAAAUAGAUGACAUGCUAGUCAUGUCGUCAGGCUAUAUUACAUAAGUUUGUUGGUGAAAAGCACAUGCACGAAUUAAAUCGGUUAGCUCAAAACAACAUACUCAAAUAUGUAAUUGAAAAACAUAACAUGAUUUUCUCCAUAGACUUUAUUAUUUCAAAAUUUACAUUGCAAUAAUAAUUUGGGUUCUAUUAAUUUGAAUUAGUUUUACGGUAGAAACACUGACGAUGACUGCAUAGUCAUAAAAAUAAAUAUUACAUAUAUAUUUAUUAUUAUGAUUUAAUGGUUAACAUACUUAUUCAACUAAAAGUACUGGUCCAAUUUAAUUACAGCUUAAUAUUUUAUAAGAAAUCUUUAAAUUACAUUUAAUAUAUCUUACAUUCACAUACAUAAACAGUAUAUAGUGUAAAGCCUACUGUUAACUUUACAUUUGCCUAUUUUAUAUAACUUACAUUCAAGUUACAAGUUUUACUUUUACACUUGAGGCACAAAAUUUUAAGUUUUCAAUCAUUGCUUAAGGGUGCGUUUGGAAUUGAGGUUGGGCAGCUGUAGCUUAAAAGUUACAGUACUAAAGUGUUUGGUAAACACUAACUGUUGUAGCUUUUAAGCUAUGUUGAUAUGAUUUUUCACUUGUAUAAUAUAAAAUUUAUUAUAUCUUUAAUAUUUUUAUCAAAAUUAUUAUUUAAAAUUUAUAUAUAUUAUAUAUUAUUAACUUUUAUUUCAUAAUUACAACUUUUUUUUCACAGCAACUGUAACUUAAAAUCUACAGUACUUCAAUCCCAAACGCACCCUAAGUGGUAAAGACCUAAAAGGGUAACAUUGUCCAAAACCUUUGUUUACAGUUUCCUCCAAUGGUAGGCAUUUAUAUUGGUCAUAAUUUUGAUGUUUUGUGAAGAAAGAAUAAUAAACUCCAAAAUGUAACACAGACUUCAAUACAAGCCCCCGUUUUAUUCAAUUUUAAAAAACAAUUAUAAUUACCCUAUAGCCCCGAAGUGGGUCCCUCUAAAUGGACAAAUAAGAAAUAACAUAACACAAACCCUUAAUAAAAACCUUUUAAAAAAAAUUAACAAAUAAUAAUAAUAUUAUUAUUAUUGUUAUAACUUGGCAAUUUUCCCCAACUCGCUAUCUUUAUAUGCACACAAAUCUCUAACCCAAAUUCAAACCCAAAAUUGUCUCUUGCCUCUCUCUUUCUCUUUCUCUUUCUCUUUCCUUUUUCUCUUCUGGGUCUCUUCUGUUUUCUGUUGUCUAAUUACAAAUUCAAUUCAAUUAAUUCAAACAGAUAAUGAAAAGCAAAACACGUUAAAAAAGAAGCCCUUUUUUCCCCCCAAAUCGGAAAACGGACGAAAACCCUAACUGAGGCUUCUAUCGUCAAAGCUUCUUUUUCUGUUCCAAUUUAACUCUUUUUGUUCAAUACUCGAAACCCAUUUGCUAGAAUUUGAAGAUAAUUGUUGAGAAAUUAGUUAAUUUUGCUUGCUAUGGAAGCGAUACCGCACCCUAUACCUAGAACUGUAGAGGAGGUUUUCAGCGAUUUUAAGGGCAGACGGGCUGGCUUGAUUAAGGCUUUAACAGCUGGUAAUGGCUUAAUAUUUUCUUCUCUUUUUAUUUGAACUAAAUUAAUGGGUUUGUUCUAUUUGAGCUUAUGAUUAUUUUUUUCUUGUUAAUUUUAAUUUUAAUUUUCUGGGUUGUUGCAGAUGUUGAGAAGUUCUACCAGCAGUGCGAUCCUGGUGGGUUUUUCUUUUCCAUACCUAUUUUUUGUUUAUUUAAUUGUAAUUGGACUUUUUUUUCCUUCUUUUUUUUUCUAUAUUUUUGUAUUAUAUUGACUGAAUGACUAGGUAUUUAAUAAUCAGUACGUGUUAUUUAUAGCUCUGUUUCAUGUAUAAGAGAGGCAAAUUAUGUUAUAGAAACCAACUCGUUUAUUCAUUUAUUUUUUUCAGUUGGAAGAAUUUUAAUGGAGACAAUGUCUGUGAUAUGAAUUAACUAAGUUCAUGCUUGUCUUGAGUGUUUUGAGAUUGUACAAAGUCCAUGAUUUGUCUUUAAUUAAAGAUGAAAUGCUUGUUUUAAGGUAGUUUUGCUUGUCAUAGCACUCGGAGGCUUACAUUUUUUUUUUUUGAUCACUUACACGGUUAGUUUCUGUUUUAUUCAUAAAUUUCUGUGCUUCCUCACUUGCGUCGUCAUUAACUCCUUCCAUGAUGUUUUCUUCUGUAAACGCACUUAUGUUUGCCUUUCACUAGUUUGAAGGACAUUUUUCAUUGAAAGAUCCAAAUGAAUUGAAAUUGCUGCUAUAAUGUAUUUGCUUUGCUGCUGAAGCAGGUCUGUGUAAAUAAACUAGAAAAGUCUUAAAGUGUUGUUGUACCCAUAUACUUCAGUCCAGCUGGCUUCCUAGCUGCAGAAAAUCUCAAGCUUUUUCAUUCUUGACUGUCAGGUUCUUGUGUUUAUUAUAUUGGUUGGAAGCAGAUGGUUAGUUCAGUGUGAAUUCUUGGCAUUUGGUUAUGUGGAAGUUCUGGACAUUUGUUGAUGAUUUAUUUGUUUGCAUGAUCGAUUUUCAAAAUAAUUCAUUUGGCUGCAUAAUUGUUGAAAAAUCCAAAAUUCUAGUGGUAUUUAUUUAUUUAUUUUUGGAUUGAUGCAGCUAUGUUUGUUGGAAGUGUGUUGUUAUCUUCUGUUGAGUCCUUGGCAUUAAUGUUUUAUGUAGUCAUCCAUAUUUUUUUCUUGAGUUAUGUGGUAUCUGUUAUCAUAUUAAUUUUGAUUGUCUUUUUCUCAAGUCAUUUUGUAUAAAUUUUAUUGUUUCUUUUAGUAGGCAUCGAUAUUUUCACUUUAGCCUUCCUACUUUCAUAUAUCUGCUGGAGUGGAAAGAUUGAAAGAUUAGUUUGGUUCACUUUUACAAUGAGCCACAUGUUAUUACAACACUGCAUCAUUUCAACCAAAUAGGGAAACUGCGACACAAGAAGAAUGCCCAUUGGAAAAUAGGGAUCGUGCAGCUGCCUGAUAGCAGAAAAUUCCUGAAUUCUUGGUGAUAGUGAUUAUUUAUGUUGGACUCCUGCUCUUAUGUCUGUGGAUCCGCCCAGUAUUUUCAGUUUGAUCCUUCAAUCUAAUUUCCUUAUGGUUGUAUGUUUAUUGACUUAUAUUCUGUCAUGGUAUUAUGGUUUGAUAUCCUUUUCUUAUCAGGCGAGUUGGCUAACAUGAAGUUCACUUUACUAUUUUCGUCAAUGUUUAUUGGAGUGCAAAGCUUCACCAUAUAGUGUGGUUUGUGACUGUUGUGUUGUCUAAUGUGUUGCCUUAUCUUCUUAUUGACUUGUUUGUAAAAAAUUAGAACUCUAAUUCUAAUUGUCAUUAUGUUUGGCUGCUAUACUCUAUGUCCAUGGUCAAAUGUCGUCCCUUUUUUGUUUGUUUUUAUGGUUUAUGUCCAAAUGUUGCUAGAGCAGUUGAUGUCAAUAAAAGAGUAUCUUCCUGGACUAACAGUCUCCUUCUGCAUUCUUAAUGUUUUAUGAAACCAAGUACUUUUUUGUGCUUUUAGUUAUUGGUAUGAUAAAAUGAGAUCUGAUUAUAUGAACAAUUCAAGGCAGAUUGCACAUUUUUAUUUAAAAUACUAGUAUUGUGCAUACAGAAAAAGAGAACUUGAGCCUAUUUGGGCUUCCUAAUGAGACAUGGGAAGUUAAUCUGCCUGUUGAGGAAGUGCCUCCCGAGCUCCCUGAGCCAGUGUUAGGUAUAAACUUUGCUAGAGAUGGAAUGCAGGAGAAGGACUGGUUAUCACUGGUUGCAGUGCACAGUGAUUCAUGGUUGCUUGCUGUAGCUUUUUAUUUUGGUGCACGCUUUGGAUUUGGCAAAAAUGAAAGGUAUUUUCUCUUUCAUGCCCAUUUACCUGCAUUUGCUGUAAUCUCCAGAGCCUUAGCAUUAGUAUCUGCUUUUUGGUAUCAAAUUGUUAGUUCUUAGUCCUGUCUCAUAGUUCUGCCACUGCUUUUCAACAUUACAAGAUGAUAAAGGGGAUAUGCAUAGAUAUAUCAUUAAAUUUUAUGGUUGAGAUUGUUUCAAUUGAAAGAUCAAGGCAGUAAGUCCAGGGGAGAGUAACAAUAUAUGUUUGAUUAUUUCACUUAUUUUUGUAAGAAUAUACGUUUGAUCAUUCCACAUAUUUAUCUUUUAUAAUGCUAAUUGGUGAUGAUUUGUCUUCUCUCAUAUUUGUAUUUAUAACUAUUUAUUGGUAACUUGAUCUACCAAUAUUAAGUUUAACAAGUCCAAUAAUGUUGUCUUGACAAUAAUUUAUGAUUGGUUAUUCUGUGGUCAACAAUUUAAGGUCAAGGCUUUUGUUUUAUACAUUCUGGACCAUUUUUUGCUGCUAGAGCUCGUCUGUCGUCUUGUAAAAUUCGGUUUGAACCACCUUGGUUACUAUGUUUCAUUCAUCUCAUUCAUGCUACAAAGUCAUAUGAUCAACUGUAUGACAUAUGAUGUUUGACAGCCUAUGCAUUCAAGUUGUCAUUAACGAAAGGAAGUUUAUGGUCUCCGACAAAGUCUUGACUCAUUCAGCCGGUUGACACUGCUCAAUGGAAUGUUAAUAAUCUAAUUGGGUAUCAUAGAUUUCUUGAACAAAAGACAUAGUAGGAGUAACUGAACAAUAUACUAUGGAACUAUUGUUGAAGUUAUACAUGAUAUGGAAAACCUGCGAUGCUAUGCUUGACCAGGAAGUUUAAUAAAGUCAAGAUGAAUGUCUGGUUCUAAUUUUUCUUGGAAUUGGAUCUUGCAGGAAGAAACUUUUCCAGAUGAUAAAUGAUCUCCCGACCAUCUUUGAAGUUGUAACAGGAAAUGCUAAGCAACCAAAGGACCCUUAUUUGUUGAAUCCAUUCUCCGGUUCCCGGAUUCUGCGGAACUUUUCCGGACGUUGUGGGUCGUCAUGGCGGUGGCUACAACGUAAUUUGAAGUUGAUCACGAAGAUAUAAAUGGCUGUAGCACCGACGCGUUUCACGACAAUCAAGGAAAUCAAAGAUUGUUUCUUCCAUAAGUCCAUUCUGUCGGGGAGUCCCUACUUUCAGGAUAAUGACAAUGUAGCUGUAGCCAUCUACAAUGAUAGAUCAAAGUGGUUCAAUAUUUCAAGGCCAAGAACAUUAUUGUUACUGGUAUGGCGAUGUUAUUUGAGUAUCUCAAAAUGGUGCUAGUACUGUUUAUGCAUUAUCACUAAGUCCCGGUACAGGAUGGUCCAUUCGAAGCAUGGGAUUUCAAGAAAUUACAGAAUGAUUAUAAUGCUCCUCCUGUAAAAAUAAUGGGUUUGAAUUUGAAGCCAUCAUUUCCAAACUCAUGGGAUGUAGAUACCAAGCCAUGUCAUGUGGCUGUAAACUCAUACUUGGUAGAAUCUAAGUCGUAGGAUAUUUUGUUUCUUUUUAUUUUGUUUAUAGCCUCAAAUUCCCUUAUUUGUUUACGAUGAAUCAAAUUUUUGAAAUAUAAAAUUUAGAUAAAAUAAUUAAAUAAAAAAUAAUUUAAUUUAUAUAAUAAAAAAUAAAAUUUAAUUAAAUCAUAUUUUCGUUUUUUUUUUCUAGGAAAAAAAGUGUACAAAUGUAUGUGAGCAUAUAUUAUUGAUAAGUAACACUAUCCAUCAAAAAAUUUAUCCAAAACUUUUCAUCCAAAGCAUUGUAAAAGACGGCAUUGGUGUAGAGUGUGUAAAAAAUCAACUUAAAACUUUGAGAAAAAUUUUUAUAUACAUCACAUCACAUAAUCUUCUCAUUUUUGCUACAAUUUUUGCAAUGAUUUUUGGAAUAAGUGCACUGUUCUUAUCACCCAAAUAUACAGUAAGAACACUUCAAUGUAUUAGUUUCAAUUUAAUUUAAGCUCAGUUAUUGAAUUGCUCAUUCAAUAAGAAUUCUUCAUGUUAUAUGCUUAAUUUGAAGACUCGAAUCUUCACUAUCUUUAUCACAAAAUUUUUUAGUCUCACAUGCAUACUACAUAAUUUCACUACCUAAGUAUCUUAAAAGUAAAUCGGAUUCAUGAUUUAAUUCAUGAUUUAAUAUCUAUAUAAUAUGAUGCAUGAUAAAUGAACUACUUUUUCAAAGUCCCAUAUAAAAAUUGUUAAUGGUGAUCUCAAUUUCUAAAUUAGCAAUCAUUGAAUUUUAAUUUUCUCUUACAUUUUCUUUUAAUGUAUUUUUAUUUUGUCAGUUGAUGGUAGGGAUGAGAAUGGGGAGGCGAGUGAUCGACAUCCUAGUAUCCAUCCACAAUGUUCUGCUUAAGUAUGUGUACUUCCUCAUAUCCCCGUUAUAAAAAUGUAAAUAUAUGAGGGGAGGGAAUAACAUUUCCGUCAAACUCAAUUAAUAUCAUUGAUAUUAUAGCAUAAUCCAUAAGUGAUUUGUCCACAACACACGAAUAUUAAAAUAAACGACUGCGAAUUAAAAUAUUUCGUCAAAUUAAGUUAAUAGUAUCAAUAUUACAACGUAAUUAAUAUGUGAUUCGUCCACUACAAAAAAAAAAGUGGUAUUUGUCUAUAUAACAGAAGCAAUGACAAAUUUUAUUCUUGUCUUUACAUUAUUUUUAUAAAUAUUACGAUUUUUUUUGUUUACAAACAUAUUAAUACAUUUUAAAUGUAUUUUAUUGAAGUUAUGGAAAAAUAUAAUAAAAGUUAAAAGGAUUUGGAUCCUCUCUUUUUAAUCUUAUUUUUUCUAAGAUUAAUUUUGUAGGAGAUUAUAAUAUUUGUCAAUUACGUAGAAAAUUUUCCAUUUUAAACGCCAAAUCACAUCGUUUAGUAACUAAUAACUAUAAUCCUAAAACUAAUGGGAGUUUAAUUUUAACGUUCGACUUCUUUUUUUCCCCCAUUUUCUUUACACGUUUUGUAGCCUCUUUCAUCUCUCACUGCUUCUUCAAAACCAGAAACUUAAUUUGGUAAUGAAGAAUUCCACCAAUUAAAAAAAAAAAGGCAGGUUAAUUUUAUUUUCUUUUUUUAAAAUUUGGAGCUCUCUCGUUUCUCAUCACAGUUCUCUUCUGUUGGAGAAUUUAUGAACCGUAGGAUUUCAACAAAUGAAAGAAAACAGAAAAAAUGGAGGAGAAAGUAAUCAAAGAUAACUAUAAUUGAAAUAAACAAGAGCAAACUUCUAUUUAUAUUGAACUUAUAUAUAUAUAUAUAUAUAUAUAACCAUAUUCCAAUGAGAAUUUUAUAUUUUGAAAAUUGAUUUAAUUUUGAUAUUUCUUUCAAAAUUGUUUAAUUGUGAUCAUUGUACUAAAAUCAAAUGCAAAAUAAGAAAAGAGUGGUUUAAAUAAUAAUGGCACGGGAGUGUCUGCAUGUGUGAAGAAGAAACAGGAGAUAAGAUGAUGGGUAAGGAAAAGAGAAGAGAUGACAUACUUUAGGGUUAACAUCUGAUAGUUGCUAAUUAUUCUAUUUUAGUUAUUCAUUAAAUCGAUAUGGCGUUUAAGAAGAAAAAAUUAAAAGUAAAUUAAAUCUUACCCCUAGGUACACUUAAAUGGCAAGUGUCAUAAUCUCCCAUGAACCUUGGGAAAAAUUAGAUUAGAAAUAAAAGUAAAAAACAAUCAAAAUGGAGAGGAGAUAAAGAUUUCACCUAUUCCCAUCAUUUCUUCGAAUGAAAAAAUAAAGGGUUAUUAUCAUUUUACUACUUCAAAAAUUAAAAAAUAUCAAAUAACCACAAGAAAUUUGUCCCCUAUCAUUUUUCUACUAUAUCUUUACAAAAAUAUUAUUUUACUACUUUUCCGUUAUAACCGUUAGUUGACCAGUUAGUUGACUAACAAAAUAUUAAUUUUACCCUUCAUGAUUAAAAAAAAUACUUGAAGCUUAUUUACAAAAUCAACUCUUCCACAUUUAUUCGAUCAUCCAAGUUUCAUUUCCAACAUUAGGAUAUAAAAAUAGAAUCAUUAAUAAGAAAAAUUUGUAAUCUAUUUAUAAAAAUGGAUACAAAAUACCAACAUAAUUCUUUUUACUAGAAUUAUAAUAUAUGGAUUAUAAAUUUAUCUUAUUAAUGAUUCCAUUUUUAUAUUAAUGUUGGAAAUAAAACUUGGAUGAUCAAAUUAAUGUGGAAGAGGUGAUUUUGUAAAAAAGCUUCAAGUUUAUUUUUUUUAAUAAUGAAGGGUAAAAUUAGUAUUUUGUUAGUCAACUAAUUGGUCAACUAAUGGAAAAGUAGUAAAAUGAUAUUUUGUAAACAUAUAGUAGGAAAAUGAUAGGGAAUAAUACUUCUUAUAAUCAUUUGAUAUUUUUUAAAUUUUUAAGUAGUGAAAUGAUAAUAGCCCAAAAAUAAAUAUUAAAUUAUCAUUAUCCCCUUAUUGAAUAAAAAAAAUUAGAUAUCAAAUUAUACCCAUCUACUCCCCAAAUGGCAAUAAUCCUCCAAAGACCCCAUCCCCUUACUAAUUUUUCACAUCCCUAAUUCGUGGUUUGCCACAUGAUAUAUGUAUCCUUGAUAAAAAUAAAUAAAUAGAUGACAUGCCAGUCAUGUCGUCCGGCUGUAUUAGGUAAGUUUGUUGGUGGCAAGCACAUGCACGAAUUAAAUGGUUAGCUCAAAACAGUAUACUCAAGUAUGUAAUUGAAACACAUAACAUGAUUUUCUUCAUAGACUUCAUUAUUUCAAAAUUUACCUUGCCAUAAUAUUUUGGGUUCCAUUAAUUUGAAUGACUGCGUGAUUAUAAAAAUAAAUAUUAUCUUUAUAUAUAUUAUUAUGAUUUAAUGAUUAACAUAUGUAUUCAACUAAAAGUGUUGGUCCAAAUUUAACUACGGCCUAAUAUUUUAUAUAUCCUACAUUCAAGUUACAAGUUUUCCUUCUACACUCGGGGGCUGAAAAUUUUAAGUUUUCGAUCAUUGCUUAAAUGGUAAAAACCUAAAAGGGUAACACUGUCCAAAAUCUUUGUUUACAGUUUCCUCCAAUGGUAGGCAUUUAUAUUGGUCAUAAUUUUGAUGUUUUGUGAAGAAAGAAUAAUAAGCUCCAAAAUGUAACACAGACUUCAAUACAAGCCCCCUUUGUAUUCAAUUUAAAAAAACAAUUAUAAUUACCCUAUAGCCCCGAAGUGGGUCCCUUUAAAUGGACAAAUAAGAAAUAACAUAACAUAAACCCUUAAUAAAAACCUUUUAAAAAAAAUUAACAAAUAAUAAUAUUAUUAUUAUUAUUGUUAUAACUUUGGCAAUUUUCCCCAACUCGCUAUCUUUAUAUGCACACAAAUCUCUAACCCAAAUUCAAACCCAAAAUUGUCUCUUGCCUCUCUCUUUCUCUUUCUCUUUCUCUUUCCUUUUUCUCUUCUGGGUCUCUUCUGUUUUCUGUUGUCUAAUUACAAAUUCAAUUCAAUUAAUUCAAACAGAUAAUGAAAAGCAAAACACGUUAAAAAAGAAGCCCUUUUUUCCCCCCAAAUCGGAAAACGGACGAAAACCCUAACUGAGGCUUCUAUCGUCAAAGCUUCUUUUUCUGUUCCAAUUUAACUCUUUUUGUUCAAUACUCGAAACCCAUUUGCUAGAAUUUGAAGAUAAUUGUUGAGAAAUUAGUUAAUUUUGCUUGCUAUGGAAGCGAUACCGCACCCUAUACCUAGAACUGUAGAGGAGGUUUUCAGCGAUUUUAAGGGCAGACGGGCUGGCUUGAUUAAGGCUUUAACAGCUGGUAAUGGCUUAAUAUUUUCUUCUCUUUUUAUUUGAACUAAAUUAAUGGGUUUGUUCUAUUUGAGCUUAUGAUUAUUUUUUCUUGUUAAUUUUAAUUUUAAUUUUCUGGGUUGUUGCAGAUGUUGAGAAGUUCUACCAGCAGUGCGAUCCUGGUGGGUUUUUCUUUUCCAUACCUAGUUUUUGUUUAUUUAAUUGUAAUUGGACUUUGUUUUUUCCUUCUUUUUUUUCUAUAUUUUUGUAUUAUAUUGACUGAAUGACUCGGUAUUUAAUAAUCAGUACGUGUUAUUUAUAGCUCUGUUUCAUGUAUAAGAGAGGCAAAUUAUGUUAUAGAAACCAACUCGUUUAUUUAUUUAUUUUUUUUCAGUUGGAAGAAUUUUAAUGGAGACAAUGUCUGUGAUAUGAAUUAACUAAGUUCAUGCUUGUCUUGAGUGUUUUGAGAUUGUACAAAGUCCAUGAUUUGUCUUUAAUUAAAGAUGAAAUGCUUGUUUUAAGGUAGUUUUGCUUGUCGUAGCACUCGGAGGCUUACAUUUUUUUUUUUUGGUUCACUUACACGGUUAGUUUCUGUGUUAUUCAUAAAUUUCUGUGCUUCCUCACUUGCAUCGUCAUUAACUCCUUCCAUGAUGUUUUCUUCUGUAAACGCAUUUAUGUUUGCCUUUCACUAGUUUGAAGGACAUUUUUCAUUGAAAGAUCCAAAUGAAUUGAAAUUGCUGCUAUAAUGUAUUUGCUUUGCUGCUGUAGCAGGUCUGUGUAAAUAAACUAGAAAAGUCUUAAAGUGUUGUUGUACCUAUAUACUUCAGUCCAGCUGGCUUCCUAGCUGCAGAAAAUCUCAAGCUUUUUCAUUCUUGACUGUCAGGUUCUUGUGUUUAUUAUAUUGGUUGGAAGCAGAUGGUUAGUUCAGUAUGAAUUCUUGGCAUUUGGUUAUGUGGAAGUUCUGGACAUUUGUUGAUUUGUUUGUUUGCAUGAUUGAUUUUCAAAAUAAUUCAUUUGGCUGCAUAAUUGUUGAAAAAUCCAAAAUUCUAGUGGUAUUUAUUUAUUUAUUUUUGGAUUGAUGCAGCUAUGUUUGUUGGAAGUGUGUUGUAAUCUUCUGUUGAGUCCUUGGCAUUUAUGUUUUAUGUAGUCAUCCAUAUGCUUUUUCUUGAGUUAUGUGGUAUCUGUUAUCAUAUUAAUUUUGAUUGUCUUUUUCUCAAGUCAUUUUGUAUACAUUUUAUUGUUUCUUUUAGUAGGCAUCGAUAUUUUCACUUUAGCCUUCCUACUUUCAUAUAUCAGCUGGAGUGGAAAGAUUGAAAGAUUAGUUUGGUUCACUUUUACAAUGAGCCACAUGUUAUUACAACACUGCAUCAUUGCAACCAAAUAGGGAAACUGCGACACAAGAAGAAUGCCCAUUGGAAAAUAGGGAUCGUGCAGCUGCCUGCAGAAAAUUCCUGAAUUCUUGGUGAUAGUGAUUAUUUAUGUUGGACUCCUGCUCUUAUGUCUGUGGAUCCGCCUAGUAUUUUCAGUUUGAUCCUUCAAUCUAAUUUCCUUAUGGUUGUAUGUUUAUUGACUUAUAUUCUGUCAUGGUAUUAUGAUUUGAUAUCCUUUUCUUAUCAGGCGAGUUGGCUAACAUGAAGUUCACUUUACUAUUUUCGUCAAUGUUUAUUGGAGUGCAAAGCUUCACCAUAUAGUGUGGUUUGUGACUGUUGUGUUGUCUAAUGUGUUGCCUUAUCUUCUUUUUGGCUUGUUUGUAAAAAAUUAGAACUCUAAUUCUAAUUGUCAUUAUGUUUGGCUGCUAUACUCUAUGUCCAUAGUCAAAUGUCAUCCCUUUUUGGUUUGUUUUUAUGGUUUAUGUCCAAAUGUUGCUAGAGCAGUUGAUGUCAAUAAAAGAGUAUCUUCCUGGACUAACAGUCUCCUUCUGCAUUCUUAAUGUUUUAUGAAACCAAGUACUUUUUUGUGCUUUUAGUUAUUGGUAUGAUAAAAUGAGAUCUGAUUAUAUGAACAAUUCAAGGCAGAUUGCACAUUUUUAUUUAAAAUACUAGUAUUGUGCAUACAGAAAAAGAGAACUUGUGCCUAUACGGGCUUCCUAAUGAGACAUGGGAAGUUAAUCUGCCUGUUGAGGAGGUGCCUCCCGAGCUCCCUGAGCCAGCAUUAGGUAUAAACUUUGCUAGAGAUGGAAUGCAGGAGAAGGACUGGUUAUCACUGGUUGCAGUGCACAGUGAUUCAUGGUUGCUUGCUGUAGCUUUUUAUUUUGGUGCACGCUUUGGAUUUGGCAAAAAUGAAAGGUAUUUUCUCUUUCUUGCCCAUUUACUUGCAUUUGCUAUAAUCUCCAGAGCUUUAGCAUUAGUAUCUGCAUUUUUGGUAUCAUAUUGUUAGUUCUUAGUCCUGUCUCAUAGUUCUGCCACUGCUUUUCAACAUUACAAGAUGAUAAAGGGGAUAUGCAUAGAUAUUUCAUUAAAUUUUAUGGUUGAGAUUGUUUCAAUUGAAAGUUCAAGGUAGUAAGUCCAGGGGAGAGUAAAAAUAUAUGUUUGAUUAUUUCACUUAUUUUUGUAAGAAUAUACGUUUGAUCAUUCCACAUAUUUAUCUUUUAUAAUGCUAAUUGGUGAUGAUUUGUCUUCUCUCAUAUUUGUAUUUAUAACUAUUUAUUGGUAACUUGAUCUACCAAUAUUAAGUUUAACAAGUCUAAUAACGUUGUCUUGACAUUAAUUUAUGAUUGGUUAUUCUGUGGUCAACAAUUUAAGGCCCCUCCAGGUUUUUGUUUUAUACACUCUGGCUUGUAAAAUUCGGUCAGAACCACCUUGGUUACUAUGUUUCAUUCAUCUCAUUCAUGUUACAAAGUCAUAUGAUCAACUGUAUGACAUAUGAUGUUUGACAACCUAUGCGUUCAAGUUGUCAUUAACGAAAGGAAGUUUAUGGUCUCCGACAAAGUCUGACUCAUUCAGCCGGUUGACACUGCUCAAUGGAAUGUUAAUAAUCUAAUCGGGUAUCAUAGAUUUCUUGAACAAAAGACAAAAAUAGGAGUAACUGAACAAUAUACUACGGAACUAUUGUUGAAGUUAUACAUGAUAUGGAAAACCUGCGAUGCUAUGCUUGACCAGGAAGUUUAAUAAAGUCAAGAUGAAUGUCUGGUUCUAAUUUUUCUUGGAAUUGGAUCUUGCAGGAAGAAACUUUUCCAGAUGAUAAAUGAUCUCCCAACCAUCUUUGAAGUUGUAACUGGAAAUGCUAAGCAACCAAAGGACCUAUCUGCUAAUCACAAUAGCAGCAAAAGCAAAUCGAGUGGAAAGGUUUGAGGAAAUUGAAAUUGGAACUUAAUGGUUUUCAGUUACUAUUGUUUUUAUCAAAUUCUUUUCUCUCACGGUUUGGAUGUUGCCUUCGAGCAGUCUCGUCCAGCUGAAUCACAAACCAAAGCAGUGAAGAUGUCUCCACCACCGAAGGACGAUGAUGAUAGCGGUGAUGAAGAAGAGGAAGAUGAUGAACAGGGUGCCACCUGUGGAGCAUGCGGGGAUAACUAUGGCACUGACGAAUUCUGGAUCUGCUGCGAUAUCUGUGAGAAAUGGUUCCACGGCAAAUGUGUAAAGAUUACACCUGCGAAGGCCGAGCACAUCAAGCAGUACAAGUGCCCCAGCUGCAGUAGCAAGAGGGCUAGAGUUUAAGAUCAGUUAUGAAGUUGGGAAUUGAACAACGAUUGAACAAAGCAAGACAAGAUUAGAACUUUUUUCGUUACAGUUUGAGAGUAAAACAGAGUCAGAUACCUGUUUUAGUCAAUGAAUUUGCAACUCCUGUUUAAUUUUCUCUGGAAUUUGUGUUUUGAAAUAGCUGCUGGCAUUUAGAAAUGCAAAUGUUGGAGCAAGUUUUCUGGUGGUUUGAUCUAAAGUUCUUGUUGUGAAUGUGUAAGCAUCAUUGACAAAAGGCUCUUCCUAUUCUAUGACUGUGUCCUUUGUUAAAGGAAAAGAUUGGAACAUUCCUCAUUGUAGCAUCAAACAUGCAAGGAAAUUGAAGCAUAACUUGGCUUGAGCAUGAAGUCAUCAUAACAUGCUCCCAAAUUUUGGUGCAAAAUUAUUGUCCGCCAAUUGCUACCAAUUGGAUGAAAAAGUUCCAAUUUCAAGAAGCAAUCAAAUAUUGUUUUAAAUAAGUGGAUGCAAGUACAAACUAAUAAUGGUGAGGUGGUCUUCUGAUUGUCCACAAUCUAUUGCUAAAUUUAUGUUAAAAAGUGGAAAAGUGAUUUGAUAAUAUUUCACCAACUGUAAGCAUCCAAAUGUGGGGAUUUUGGUAAAAGAAUGUUCCAACUAUUUACGUAAGCAAACACACUAUAACUAUAACUAUAACUAUAUAUAUAUAUUCUAAUGGAGGGUCUUGUCUUAAAUGAAUCACUGAAGAGUAACAUGUUUACAUUUUGACUUUCAAUGAUUUCAUUAUGGACACACUCAAUGAUCAUCACCAAAAAAUUUUUUUAAAAAAAGUUAAGAUUUAACAAAACACACAUGCAAUUGGAGAGCUUUAGAAACAAUUAAGACAUUUUAACUCAACGCAUUAAUCAUGAUAAUCAUUAGUUCAUGUGGAAAAGAAAUUUUUGAUCGCAAUUAUGAAAUGAAGACAUAAUUAACUCACGCAACUUUAUAUUCCAUUUUAAUUGAGCAAAAAUAUCGAUAUUAAUUAAUUAAUUCAACUCGUUAGGUCCCUUCUUUUUUUUUUGUAAAUGGAGGAGCUUAAGGUUAAAAAGCCUCCCUCAUAUCUAAAAUCUACAAAGAAACAAUGAAAUAAAAGACUUGUGGGAUCAAGUAGGCUUUUCAAUUCGUUCAAGGCCAUGGGGACCUACUCUUUAAAGUUUCUAUUUGUUGCAAUUGCAUUAUUAGGCUUUGAUGCUGCCGCUUGGAUAAGCUUCUUGUGGUAUUAAUCAAAAUAGAAAAUGCAUUGUCAUGCUAUAAAAUCCAACAGUAGAAUUCCACCAAAAUCAAACAUGUUUUGUUUGUCUGCAAAAAUUCUAUCAGAAAAAGCACAAGAAACCAAACACAACCAAGAAACUGCAUUGGCCCUGUCUUUAUAAAUCUGCUUAAAGCCAUAAAUGGUUUAGGGCUUAGCAAAAGGUAUUGGGUUUUUUUUUUAUUAUUAGUAGUAUUGUCGUGCAAGCUCAAGUGAUGAUUAAUAUUCAAUUGACAAAAACCUAAAGAAACCAAAAGUUGCAUGUGAUUAAGCAUUUGGCUGUAGAUGGGUUAAAGCAUGUUGUGAGUAGAAAAUUUAAUGUCAUUAAUCUCCAACUGAUAAACAAUUUAAUGCUUGACUAACCAAUCACGUGCUAAAGAGGAAAAGAGAUCUGAUUUGGGAAUAUCUUAAAGGAUUAGUUUAAUUGGGAAAUUAUUAAAAUUAAGAAGAGUUGUGAAGAAAAAAAAACCAUGAUAGAGAUUAGAGAGAGGUCUCAUUGUGGCCUUGGCACAUGCUUUGGUUGUUAAAUAGAAAAUUGAUCGAUCGAUCACCAAAACUUGACCAACACCCAUUUUUGUCUACGUUUUGAUUGUGAUUGAUAAGCCAUUUUCAAUUGCUAACGUAUGGAUACUGCUUCAACAUGGAAUCUAAAUCUUGAUCUUGAUGGUGGAGAGAAAAUUGUGAUUUGUUUUCUAAAAAUGAAAAACAAAAUUAAGAUACAUAUGACUCAUAUGUAAAUAAUUACAUGAAACGUGAAAUUAAUAAUAUCAAACGUUAUACAUAUAGAUCGUAAAAAUGAUAAAUGAUAACACAAAACAUCAUAAUAGUAAUGAUGUACGUUGUCAAAAUUAGUAAUACAUUAACUAUAUUAAUUAUUUGGAUUAAAAUGGUAAAACUCUAUAUUGGUGUUAAUGUAAAGUCCAGAAUUUCACUCUUUUUCUCUCUUUUCUAUUUUUUUUCCUUUUUAAAAUAGAGAUCACAUUGUUGUGCGCUGCAUCCUCUAAAAGUUUUUUCUUUCUUUCUUUCUUUUUUAUUUUUUUGUCACAUUAUUCAUCAAAAGAAAAGAAAAAAAACCUCAUCAAUUUCUUCUUCAGAAAGUACUUUCUAGUUUCUAUGCAACUCUUCACCUUAUCUUGUCAUGAAUUCACAAGCUUGAUUCAUUCAAUAAGUUCAACCAUAUUGGUUGAAGAGAUGGCGAAUAUGCAUUUACUGAAAAAGCAAGGAACACCUAAUGACUUUGUGCCUUUAACUUUAAUAGAAGGACACUCAAAUGCAAAAUGAACAUAUAAACAGAAAAUUGCAACCAAUUAAUCAAUAGCUAUGAAAAGAUCAAACUACUGAAUUGAAUUGUUCUAUUCUCUUGUACAAAUGUCUCUAUUUUAUAUCAUUCAAAAUAAUAUUAUUAUAGUGCAUAUGUAUUUUACAAAGUGAAUAGUAGACAUUCCAACUUAAAAACUUUUUCAAAAUUUAUAUAGCUUCUUGACACUUGAAUCACAUAGAUAAACAAUGAUACAGAAUUAGUGUAAUAACAUAGUAUAAUAUUAAUAUUGAUGGAUGUAAAUAGAAACAUUUUACAAUUCUUUUUAAGUGGAUCUUUUAUAUAUAGUUAUAUACCAUUCACCACAUUACCAAUACAAUAUAUAUAUAUAUAUAUAUAUUAGCAAAAAUAGUAGUAUCAAUAUCUUUCCAAAAACAUAUUCUUAAAAGAAGUUUAUUUUUUUUCCUUUAUAAUGUUUUCUUUUUCUUUCUUGCAAUAAAUAUUUCCAUAAAUCAUUAAAAAAAUAUUGUGUAACAAAACAGACAAAAGACAAGAAGAGACCAAGAACUGUUUCAAGUGUAAAAAGGCAAAAACUGUAAAAUAAAAAAUAAAUAAAAAAUAAAAAAAAUGAAAGACAAAAAACACAACACAAAUAUCAAAAGAAGUAGAAAUCCCGGGGUCCCCGGGGCUUCCUCCACAGUCCAAAGUUCUCUUUCACACACACACUCACUCACAUUCCAAAGAUUCAACUUUCAACAAUUUUGAUUUGAGGCGCCAACUAAGAAAUAGGAGUAAAAAAUAAAAAAUAAAAAAUAGAAAUAAAGAAGUAAAAACCCUAGUGACAGUGAGUGAAGAAGAAGAAAAGGAAAAAUCAACAAAAAAUAUUAUUUAUAUUGUCAGGUACUGGUCCAUUUCAUACUCACACUGUCAAAAUCCAUUAUUUCCUAUCCACUCUCUCUUUCACUAAUCAUUUAUUACCAUUUUCGUUCAAAGUUUCAAUUUUUUUUCCUUUUUGUUGUUGGGUUUGUAUGAUUUGUAAAUUUUGUGUACGUGGGGUUUGAAGCUUUGAUGAGUGAAAUGGGAAUGUGGGUAUUGUUUUAAACUUGUAAAGUUUUGUUUUGGGGUUUGUGGGUUUUUUUUUUUUUUUUUAAUUCUUGGUUUGACCAAGGGAAAUGGCUGAAAUGAGAGGGAGGUUGCAGUUGAAGAAAGAGCUGACACAAAUUAGGAAAGCAGCCCGUUUGCGUGAUCCGGGGACCACAUCUUCAUGGAAGUCACCAUUGAGUUCAUCCAGAUCUCUAGCAGCAGCAGUGGCAGCAGCUUCUGCUUCUGGCUCUGCUUGGAAGAUCAAUAACAAUAACAAGCAAUUGGUUGAUGAAGACAACAAUGUGAGUAUUAAUAAUGGGAAUGUGAAUGGGAAAGAGAAGAGGGUGUUUUUGUGUAAUUGGAAGAAUCAGAAAUCUUCGAGUGAGACUAGUGCAGUUGCAAGAAAUGAUGAUGAUGAUAUUGAUGUCGAUGAUGAUGAGGAUGAAGGAUCUUCCUCGGUUAUUGAAAGUGUUGAUGAUAGCUUGAGUGAUGCAAGAAAUGGUGGUGAUUCAAAGAGUGAUACUUAUUUGGGUGAGAAUCGGGCAUCGUCGAUUUUCAGGUGUAGAGAUGCAAAUCUUGUGUCUGUGGCAACUCCAGCAAUGAAAAGAGCAAUGGCUGCCAAGAGAAAAAGUAAGAGACAUAAAACCCUUUCCGAUUCUUUAACUAGAUAUCAACAAAAACAAAUUAUUCUUGCUAGGAAUUCAGCGGCAUUAGGUUUAGGCAGGGAUGAGUCUGUUGAGCAAUCCGAUGAUACUGAAGAUUAUUGUAAUUCGGAGGAUUUUCGUAAAUAUUCUGGGGCUUCCCCAUUGCUAUUAAAACUUAAGCAUAAGAACUGGUCACAUUCGUCUUCUAAGUUGUUGAAAGGUGGUAGAAAAGAAGAUUCGUCUUAUAGUUACAGCACACCUGCAUUGUCUACUAGUUCUUAUAAUAGGUAUGUUAAUCGUAAUCCUAGUACAAUUGGAUCUUGGGAUGCCACAACAGCAUCCUUGAAUGAUAAUGAUGAUGCUAUGGAUGAUCAUUUGGAUCUCCCUGGUCGUCAAGGAUGUGGGAUUCCGUGCUAUUGGUCAAAAAGGACACCAAAACAUAGAGGGGUAUGUGGGAGUUGUUGCUCUCCUUCCCUUUCAGAUACUCUAAGGAGGAAAGGAAGUAGUAUUUUGUGUGGGAGCCAGACGAUGUAUCAUGGAAGGAGACGCUCGUCAUCUGUUUCUAACAAGAGGAGAAUGGCUUCAAGAAGUGCCCAAGGUGUUCUCCCAUUACUCGCCAAUAAUGGUGAUGGGAGAGCAGGGUCAUCUAUCGGAACUGGCCGUAGUGAUGAUGAACUUUCUACAAACUUUGGGGAGCUCGAUUUGGAGGCAUUAAGCAGAUUAGAUGGCAGGAGGUGGUCAUCAAGCUGUAGGAGUCAAGAUGGGUUAGAGAUUGUAGCUUUAAAUGGAGAGGAAGAGGAAGGUGUACUGGAGAAUAUAAGGAGUUUGAGCCAGAAAUACAAGCCGAUCUUCUUUGAUGAAUUGAUUGGACAGAAUAUUGUGGUUCAAUCACUUGUGAAUACCAUUUCAAGGGGAAGAAUUGCUCCUGUUUAUCUUUUCCAAGGUCCUCGAGGGACAGGGAAAACGUCAACGGCUAAGAUCUUUUCUGCUGCUCUGAAUUGUGUGGCUACUGACCAAACCAAGCCCUGUGGGUACUGCAGAGAAUGUAACGACUUCAUCUCUGGAAAAAGUAGGAAUUUUAUGGAAGUUGAUGGCACCAAUAAAAAAGGAAUGGACAGAGUUAGAUACAUUUUGAAACACUUAUCUGCUGGUCUUCCAUCAGCCUCUCCACGAUUCAAGGUUUUUGUUAUUGAUGAGUGUCACCUGUUGCCCUCGAAGACGUGGCUGGCGUUUCUCAAGUUUCUUGAAGAACCACCACAGAGAGUUGUGUUCAUAUUCAUAACAACAGAUAUUGACAAUGUGCCCCGUAGCAUACAAUCACGGUGUCAAAAAUAUCUAUUCAACAAAAUUAAAGAUGGUGACAUUGUAGCGAGGUUGAGGAAAAUUUCUGCUGAGGAGAAUCUGAAUGUUGAGCCGGAUGCAUUAGAUUUAAUUGCUCUGAACGCUGAUGGUUCUCUUCGAGAUGCUGAAACUAUGUUAGACCAGCUCAGUUUGCUUGGAAAAAGAAUCACUUCAUCUCUUGUAAAUGAACUUGUGAGUUUUAUCGACAAUGCUUUGUUGGCAUGGUUUGAUUCGGAUUUAGUUAUUAACACUACCAUAAUUUCAUGAAUGGGAAUAUGAUCAAUUAACAAAAAAACUAUUUUGUAAAGAAAAGCUAAACCAUCUCAAGUGCAUGUGAGUUUCAUAUUUUUCUGAUCCUUUAGUUGUACAUAUAAUUAGUUCAACUUACAUAUGCAAUUUGCUGACUUCUCUGCAGGUGGGGGUUGUUUCUGAAGAGAAAUUACUGGAACUUUUAGAAUUAGCGAUGUCAUCAGACACUGCAGAAACGGUGAAAAGAGCCAGGGAGUUGAUGGAUUCUGGGGUUGAUCCAAUGGUUUUGAUGUCUCAACUGGCUAGCCUCAUCAUGGAUAUCAUUGCUGGAACCUACACCAUUGGUGGAAGGAGUUGUGAGUAUUAUCCAUUUCACUUUUUCAUGGUUGUUUCUUCGGAAGCAGAAGCUCCAAAGAGAUAGAAAAUUUGUUCUCUAAUUAGAUCAAUCUGCUAUGUUUGAAAUCCCUGUUAACUCAAUUUUGGUAAGUUAAUAUUGGGAAUACCAGACCGCCUAGAUAUACUAAAUCAUAAAUUGGUAAUACCUAGCUUUUCAAACAAAUGCGUCAGAGAAACAUUUUUCUCUUUAUUUUUAUUUUACUGAAAUCUCCGUGGACUCAAGUACACAAUUUGUGUAUAAUGUCUUUGAGGCGACUAGAUGUCCCAUUUAUUCUCAUAAGGAAAAAUAUUGGUAUGUAUCUAUUAUCAUUGAUUUGUCUCAUCAUAUUUUUUAUAAGGUAAGUUUUAAUCUGCAGCAAUUUUCCAAAAAGGUUAAUUCUUUUAGUUACUUGUCGUGUAUUUGCAGCCAACUUAAACCCAUUAUGGAAAGUUGGUUAACAUUGUAUCCAGAACCUUGGUUUGCUGAUUGUGAUUGGUUACAUUGUAUCCAUUUUAUCCACCUUUUAUUGUUGUUCCAACUUUCAUUUAUUUAUCUUAGCUUCAAUUGAAAUGCAGCCAAAAAGAAAAGGAGAAACAUUUUGAGUUUGAAACCCAUUGUAAAAUUUAUUCUCUGCUGUCAGUUAGAAAUAUUACAAUUGAAAUUACUGAUAUGCAUUGUUGUUGUCAUUCUCUAGUAACUGAAGCAGAAUUGGAGAGAUUAAAGCAUGCAUUGAAGCUCCUUUCAGAGGCUGAGAAACAGCUAAGGCUUUCAAGUGAACGCUGCACGUGGUUCACUGCAACCUUGUUGCAACUUGGUUCAAUGCAUUCACCAGAUCUCACUCAGUCAGGUAGCAGUAGAAGGCAGAGCUCUAGGACUACCGAGGAAGAUCCAUCAAGUACUUCAAGAGAAGCUGUUGUUUACAAGCGGAUGUCAGGUCCUCAAUAUAUGCCUCAAAAUGCAGUAUCCCCUGCUUCCUUGCGUGAACCAGUUAAUGGAAAUUCCAGGCAUCUUGGAGAAGUAUUAUCACGAAUUGAUGGUCAUAAUUCUUAUUCCAAGCCCUCACAUAGCCGGUUGAAAGAUGCGGGUGCCUUGGCUGUCUCACAGAAUGGCAAUAUUGUUGGAAAUACGAUUAUUACAUGCAGAAAUUCAGAAAAGCUAGGUGAGAUCUGGGCACAGUGUAUUGAAAGGUGUCAUUCGAAGACAUUGAAGCAGCUACUGCAGGUCCAUGGAAAGCUUUUGUCUAUCUCUGAGGUUGAAAGUAAGUCCAAUAAGUUUUACUGGGAAAUUGAAUUACACAAUGUAAAAGAAUAUAUACACAGACAUAAUAUGUAUAUUCUUAAUCGUUAUUACUGUUAUUUGAUUCUCAAUCCUAUUAACUGAACACACACGCACACUACCAAGGCCUAGCUCCACUGGUUAGUGGACGGCCUUCUUAAAGGUUCGAGACUCAUGUAGUGUGCGUGCGUAUUUGAUUAAUAAUUUUUUUUUUAAAUCUUAUUUAAUUUAAAAAAUAUUCAAGUAGUCAAGAAGUGCUUCCAGGAAAUUUUGGGUGAAAAUAAUCCUUUGGGCUAUGAUUGCUAAUUUUUUUGUAAAUUUAAGCAUCUUAAUUUUUGAAGUUCUAUAAAAAUGAAAGUGGGUAAAGUGUCAUAUUAAGUGUAAAUUGCGAAACUAAUAAGGAUUUUGAUUUGUUAAGUACCUUGAGAAAUGGUAUAUACUGCUGUAACAAUAUUGUUUUUCUCUGUCUGUGGCUCCCUAUUUUUGGCCUCUACUAAUAUGGAUUUUGAUUUAUUAAGUUCCUUGAGUGGAGGUGUAUAGUUCCUUGUCUGUCUCCAUCUCUGGCUCCCUAUUAUUGGCCUUUUUGGUCCACAUGCUGUUGAUUCAAAUUUCCUUAAAGAUGUUUGCAAGUGUUUAAAUUUCUAUAUUUUCUCCUUGCAGGAGUUUUAAUUGCCUACGUUGCAUUUGGAGAUGGAGAUAUUAAGUCAAGAGCAGAAAGGUUUUUGAGCAGUAUUACCAAUUCAAUUGAAACUGUAUUGAGACGCAAUGUAGAGGUUAGAAUAAUCCUGUUGCCGGAUGGUGAGGCUUCUAUUCACCAUGGAAUUUCUAAUGAGUUACCUAAAGGUCUCAAAAAGACAGAAACCACUGCCGCAAUUGAGAGGGAAGGAAAGGCACUUUGCUCAAAUGCAAACGAUAAUUAUUCUGAUUCAGACUCACAGCAGAUUCCUGUUAAUGUAGCGAGGAAAGUAUCCAGAGGAAGUUUUAAUGAGUUGGAAGGUAAGUUUAAAGGAGAGGAUGAUCAUUCAAAUUGUUCUCCCCUUUUUGCUGACGGCAAUUCGGAAAUUAGUAGUACAAAAGGGAGGAGGCAGGAGAUUCCAAUGCAGCGAAUAGAAUCCAUAAUCCGCGAACAGAGGUUAGAAACUGCAUGGUUACAGGCUACAGAGAAAGGAGCCCCUGGAUCACUGGGUCAUUUGAGACCUGAGAAGAAUCAAGUGUUGCCCCAGGAGGAUAUCUAUCGACAAAAUCAUAUGGAGUCCCUUCUUUCAUCAGGAUUGUCUUCUCAGCAAUGGGAAGAUGAAUUAAAUCAGGAACUCAAAAUUUUGAAGCUCAAUGAAGAUAGAGUGCUCAAGAAGGAUGAGAAUGGCAAAAAGGGUGAAAAUUACCCGAUAUUGCCAAGCUUAUUGCAUGAUAGCAGUUUUAUGGGGAAUUUCAGCAAAGAGAACCAGUAAGUCUUUUACUGACAUCUAUUGUAAUUAUAUAUUAUUUUUUCUGUGAUACUUUGCACUCCUUGGGUCCCAAUCGAGAAUAGAUUUCCAAAAACUAAAGCCUAGAAAUUGAUAGAACAAUUAGGUUGCUUGAAAUUUGGUGUACUAUAUCCAGCUUGUUGCUAGGUAUAGGGUUGAUCUUACAAGAUCCAGCUAAAAGUCCAAUACCCAAUUCCAGAAGUUUAGAGAAAAGUGGCUUAAUCCAAUACUGAAGAAUUCAAGAUUGUUGAGUUUACCUUUUUCUUGAAGUACUAGAUUCUCACUUAGAUUGUAUACCUCUCAUGCUAAAUGCUGGUGUUUCUUUAGGGGAUAUGAAUCAGGGUCACAAGCUGGAGGUUGCAGUGGGCUAUUCUGUUGGAAUAACACCAAACCUCAUAAGAAGGGAAAGGUAUUUUAUCAGUAUUAAUAUGUUUCUUCCUUCAUUCUAGCAUUUUGCAUAAAGUCAUCAGGUUCUAUUUCUGUGUGUGAACAGGUCAAAGGAACCCCUGUUCGAUCACGAAAAGGCGGGCAUUUUUCAUUAUUUGUCGAUUGCACAAAGGCAAAAAAAAGUGAAAGCAGACUUAGAAGAUAAAUGGGGAGCUUAAAUUUAAGUAGUUGGGAAUUCAUCCUUUUGUUUUCUUUGCAAAUUUUUUUGUGUAUUUAUUUUCCAGUUAAACCAUUCUUCAAGAAUGCGAGCUGAGCUCAAAGAGAAUGAUGUAAAAUGAAAAGGAUAUGUUGGACUUUGCCAUUUGUUUAGCUGCAGCUAAUUUUUAUGCCAUGAAUUAUAUAUAAUGAGAAACAGUCUAAGAUGAAAGCAAUUCAGCUUUUGCACUGCCUUGCUUGCUGGUGUAGUAAAAUUAGUUUUUGCGAGUUGCUCAUGGUGCCAUUUCAACCCAUUCAUUUACGGAUCCGCUGAUAUACAUCAGAUAAUGCAUGUUACAGAUCUCAACACAACAUUUGAAACUUCUUACACUAAACUUGAAACAUCUAAUAGAAAAAUAGAAAUCAAACUUGAAUUGUAAACCAAAAUUUGAAAUGUUUAAUAGAAAACUUGAACGGUAUUUGUGUACCGAAUCCCAUUUAUUCACCAUUUAUUCAAGGUGUACCGUGGAGUAUGGACCCCAGUGUUUAGUUAAAAUUUCGGAAGCAAAAGUUCAAAAAUACAACACAACAGAUAAAAACUUCUAUUAAGAAGACUCUGAGCUCAAAUUCAAUAUCCUCUCUGCAAUUAACAAAUCAUCAGGGGUUGUAACCUGGAAUUCAGAAUACACAACACAUCAAUUUGCAGUUCAUAUAACUUCAAGGUCACCUUUUUCAUGCAUAGGAUGAAUUUUUUGAGGAAACUACUGUAUUUCAGGCUAAAAAAUGUUGAUUCUGUUAUAUGAAAAUGCUAAAUGUCAAUCAGUAAGGGGUAACAGGUGAGAUUUCCACCCAUUACCUUGAUGUUGGUGUAAGAUCCUUCGGUGAUGUAUACAGGAUGUUUGAGAUGCUCCACUAUAGAUACAUCAUCAGUAACUUCAAGACCUUCCCUGUAGACAAUUACAGUUUGCUAAGAACAUUUUUUCUGUAUAGAGGUGUGAACACAAUGAAUUAAAAUGGAACAACCGGUAAAUUGUUUUUAUCUGGAAAUCAUAGACAUCAGUAUCAGCAUGAUGGGUUCACAGUAAAAGAUUUAUAGAUGAGGAGCUUAAAAGCAAAUGCAGUACCUAUUGACAAGCUCAAAACCCUUUUUAAGCAAGUCAGGCUUAAUCACCUAUAACAAAAAAUUUAUGGAAGUUACAAAAUAAUAUAUCCAAUAUGUCAAAUUGUUAGAACAGAAAUAUCAUGCAGUCUCUUGCAACAGCAAACCUGAGGGGUCUGCAUUUCCCAAAGAGUUUUGCGGUCCAGGGUUCUAACCACAAAAGAUUCGCUAUUUGCCUGCAUGCAUAUAUUAGGGAAUAAGUUCCCAAAUCUAUAAAACCAUUUGCUUCCCCAAACUAUAUUCUCCAAUGCACAUCCGGAGUAUAAGAAGCAGAAAGCAAUGAAUUUUAACUGGAAUAAGAAAGUGAAGUAAAAAGACGUAUCAAAUCCCAAAUGGUACAAGUGCAAAGGCUAAUGUGCACCUCUUUAAUUGUAGCUUUGGCAGGAACACCAAGUACAGCUGCUCCGACCCGCAAAGCAUCCAUAAGGACCUAAUAGUGGUAAAAUAAUGAGGCACAUAGCCAAUAUUUUUCUGGAACUCCUAGAAAAUAUGGGAAUGUUUACUAGACCUGUUUACUAAACCAAACCACCAGCCCAUACCUUUUGCACAUCUUUAGAUAAUACCAAAGGUCUAGCAGAAUCAUGGAUGCACACGAGCUCAGAGUUAAAAUCAACUUCCUGGAUGCAAAAGCAGCAUAUAACAAUACAAAUGAAAGCUAAUGUUAAAUUAUCAGCCACUAAGAGCAAAUCAAAAAACUGGAUGAGAAAAAAAGAACUGGAUAUCAGGACACCAUAAUUUUUGACUAAUUUGUUACGAAACAUUUGACUCAAUAAACAAUUGAUAUAAUAUCUUAUUGUGACUUUAUUGGUGGGUCGUCAAGUUUAAUUUUUUGAAAAAAAAGAGAAAGAAAAAAGAAAGAAGCUAAUAAUCCACUUAUGCGUACCACCAAUCCUUGAGAUAAAUCAUUUGGUUAUAUUCUAACAAUUCAUGGCAUGAAGAAUUAAUAACAGAUAAAAUAUAAACCCAGAAAGAAGAAGAAUAAAGCAGUGUUGCUGCCAAAUUUCAAGCAAAAUCCAGUUUUCUUUAAGUUAAAUUUUAUGAGUAGAGAAAUUUAUUUGCUAGCAGUAACCAUUGAAUAGUUUUCAGUAAGUUUUUACAGGCACUAGAGGAAAAUUGAAUCAACAUAAGAUGUUGAAAAAGCAAGAACAUAGAUAGAGAAACUAAAUUUCCUCUUAAUUAUCUAUGCACCUGAAGUCCGCUGUAAACAGAAUCUUGCCUCUCCUUCCCCGGAAGUGAGAAUUUAAGGUCUACAUUGAUCUUCUCUUUGGUUUCUGAAAGAAAAAUCAAGAAAUUAGUUUACAUAUUUCUGGUAGCACUCAUGCCCAACAUUAAAAGGUGACCAAACUGGUAUACUCAUUAAUAGGAGAAAGCAUACUAUGCAAGCACACGAAGAGAGAGAGAGAGAGAGGGAGAGAGAGAGGACAGAAACCUUCAAAGAUGUCACUGUAAGAUGGAUCACAAACUACCACAAUUUCCUUCACUUCAACCAUGCGUGAGAAAGUGUAGAAACUGAAGAAAAAAUGCAUUUUAUUAUUUUCAGAAGAAAAAACGAGGAUCAGUCAUAAGCAAUGGAAACAACGACUAUUACAACUUUAAACACAUAACUGUUAUUUUGCCUGAGGGCCAGACCUCAGUAACUGAAUCCCACCCAGGGUACCUUUAACCCAAGGUACUAUUCUAAAAUAAACUGAGAAUCACAUUAACAACACUAUGGAAAUACUAUAAUGUUUGUUACUGGAUCAAGAAGAAAACUCCAUAUUCCCAGAAAGACCAACUCUCACAUUCUAUUUGAUUUUUCAUGCCGAAUGUAACUGAACAUAGGUUACAGUUUAAACACGGAAGUCCCUCUUAAACCAUACAUCAAUACUUUGAUAGAAAAAAUUAAUAUCUAACACAGGUUGUUGGAAUACUACAAUAUUGUUGAUGCAAGAUAUUGGCAUUUACCUAUACAAUGCAAUGGGUUGACCCAAAAGUGGUAGAUACUGCUUUGGCAUGUUCGCCUAUUGGGACAAACAUAAAAUAACCAUCAUCUGAAAGAAGAAAAUUAAGAACAAUAGGAAUUGAAGAACGUAAUAAACUUAUACAUACAAUAUGGAUAAUACCAUAGCAUUGUAUGCAUAUCCAAACAAUACAAAUAACAGCUCAUAUGAAAAUGAGCCUCUGGAUAAAAACAACAAGAUACUUACACCCAUUCGUUUGCCCCUCCCUCCAGCCAAAAGAAUAACUGAUACACUCUUAUCUUUAACAACGACAGAACCCUGAGAUACAAGAACAUAACAUGAUUAACUGCUAAAAAUGGACGUGAAGCAACUCAAAGGAAAUAAAUCCCACUUACAUUAUCAACUUUAGCAGAACAUCUAAUCCUGGAUGUUGCAAGCCUGGCCCUCCUUGUCAAGCCAAAGAACUGAUUUUUAUGCCCUGAAAAGCACCAAAUUGAAUAGAAAUCACAUCAAAAUAACAAGCAAAGGAUAUGCUCCAUUGCCCAUCAAAAGUUACCAGUUCUGGAGAAAGUUUGGUGGUUGUCCGGGAACAGUGAGAGAGAAGAAGUUGAAGAAGACAGAGCAAGGUUCAGCUGAAGCAGGCCCAUGAGUCUAAUUUGUCAGCUUCACCUUUCUCAGUCAGUCAAAUACCGAAAUUGAAAUAUGGAAAUGAAGAAGUGAAAUGCUGCUGAGAGAUUAAAGCAGAGAAUGUAGUGUGUGUUUGUUGACUCUGUGCAGACGGAGACAAAUCAAAACGAUCAUAAUUCUUGUGCUGUUAAGUUUUUUUUUCAAUUUCUUUAUUUCUUUAUUUAUUAUCUUUUUAAGACAGCCAUCUUUGAAAUAAACAAAGUUUCAUUCACACAGCUACCGCUCAAAUUCAGAGUGUGAUAAAUAAAUGAACCAAUGGUAAAUUUAGAUAAAUUAAAAUUUGAUGAUAAAAAAUAAUUGAAAUUUUAUUUUUUUUAUAUACUUUUGAUAUUUAACCAUAUUGAAUUUAGUUUUCUUACAAAAAUAUCAUCUAGGUCCAUGAGAAAUUGGGAUAGUUGCUAAAAUGUUUGAGCUUUUUCAUUGGGGGAAAAAGAAAAAAGAAAGAAAGAAAGAACAAGUUCAGAUACCUUGAAAAAAAAUUAGAGCAACAAAUACCUUUUAGCAUAAAAAACUAAUGAAAUAAGAGAUUCGGGUCCAGCUACGGUAUAGUGGUGGUACGGUAUUACUAUUACAUCCAGUCGUUGGAUCCAUUUAGAUGGAUGGAUCUAUUAGAAUCCAACUGCUGGAUGCACACCAUAGUUUUCUCCGAGAGAUUCAUAACUGAUUCAAUAAGGUCCACCUAAUUUUGAAUUUUUUUUUAAAAAUUGAAUAUUAAUGUUGAAAACGCGGCGUUCGCUAAAAGGGUACUAUAUUUGCAACUCCCGGACACUCCCACACUCGAUACAAUCCCACUGCCCACCAUAACCCGUUGACGUAAAAACCCUAAUUCGCCCCUAACGCAUUCUCAUUCGCCUCCCUCCUCCUCGCCCUCCACUCACUGUCACACUUCGCCGCUGGCUGCUGUCCUUAUCGCCGUCCUGUCGUCGCCAACAGUUGCAAAACCCCAAGGUUAGCUUCUUAUAUGCAACUUUUUCCAUUUUUCAAUUUUCAUUUCGCUCCAAUUUCUCUAUACAUGCUUCCAUAUAAUAAAGUCACAACAUUUCUCAGCUUUAGAUCACGAAAGAGGCUCAAAGUCCCCAAGUUUGAGUAGACAUAGGCUUAUAAUUAGGUUUAUUGCUUCUGAAAAUAUAAAAAUUCAAUCUUUUUCACAAGUCACCUUAUCUGUCUGAUGUAAGUACGCUUAGGAUUUACGGUGCUGUGGCUUUUUAACUCAUAGCUGUUGUGAAAUUGGUCGCUUGCUGUUAAGUACAGCUGUUCUGUAAGCAUGUGGAGUUGGAAAUUUGUGCUUAAGCAUGAUUUCUCAUAUCUUGAAUGUGUGAAUUAUCAUUUUUGAGUUGUUGUAUUUAUUCUAAAUGUUCGGUUUGAGGAUUAUUGUCCAUUUCUCUCUAGUUUAGUCAUUUUCCCAUUAGAAGUUUAUCUACUCAUGGGAAUGCAUGCAGGGUUAAAGAUGAAGAGGAUGAUAGCUCUUGGAUUUGAAGGUUCGGCUAACAAGAUUGGUGUUGGGGUUGUUACGUUAGAUGGAAGUAUUCUAUCAAAUCCACGCCACACAUAUUUCACGCCACCUGGGCAGGGAUUUCUUCCACGAGAAACUGCUCAACACCAUCUAGAACACGUUCUUCCACUUGUCAAAUCUGCUUUGAAAACUGCUGGAAUAACCCCAGAUGAAAUUGAUUGCCUUUGUUACACCAGGGGUCCGGGCAUGGGAGCGCCACUGCAAGUUGCUGCUGUUGUUGUCCGGGUUCUAUCUCAGCUGUGGAAGAAGCCAAUUGUUGCUGUUAAUCACUGCGUGGCACAUAUUGAGAUGGGGAGGAUUGUGACUGGAGCGGAGGAUCCUGUUGUGUUGUAUGUCAGCGGUGGAAAUACCCAGGUGAUUGCUUAUAGUGAAGGAAGGUAUCGGAUCUUUGGGGAGACUAUCGAUAUUGCUGUGGGUAACUGCUUGGAUCGGUUUGCAAGGGUUUUAACACUGUCCAAUGAUCCAAGCCCUGGAUACAACAUUGAGCAGGUAUGUGAAGAUUGGUUUAUUCAACAUUUUUCUUCUUUUCAGAAGGAUUAAAUCCAUUUAGAUUUUAUAUGUAAUUGUAAAACAUUUAGGUAAGGAAUGAUUUAGACCAGUUGAAUUUUUAAGUCUAUAUCUGGGCCCUACCUGUGAAGUGGUUUAAGCAUGUGUCUCGCAAUUCGAGAAUUGUGUUUCUAUUACCUGCUUAUCUUCUGAUCUUCAUUCAUCAUUUCCUGAAUCAUCAUCAUGGAAAUAUAUACAUGCAUUAGGUUAUUUAUCAAAAAUCUUUGGGUACUGGCUUGUGUUUAAUUCUUCGGUUGGUAGAUUGAGUGAUGGGACAGAAGGUCUUCUAUUUUGAAUUGCCUAAUAUGAUUUUCUUCUUUCCCAGCUGGCAAAGAAAGGGGAAAAGUUUCUUGAUCUUCCUUAUGUUGUAAAAGGGAUGGAUGUCUCUUUUAGCGGGAUAUUGAGCUAUAUUGAAGCAACUGCUGCGGAGAAGCUCAACAAUAAUGAGUGCACUCCUGCAGAUUUGUGCUAUUCCCUGCAGGUUAGUUGCAUUUUUUAUCCUUUAAUCCGUUGGAACAGCAUGAGCCAUAGCUUUAAAGACUGCAAUUAUAUCUAGCCAUUCUUCAUGGUCGUUAUAUGAAUCUAAUUGGAAAUUUACAUUUCGCUUGAUGAUGUGUUACAGGAAACUCUUUUUGCGAUGCUUGUGGAGAUCACGGAACGGGCAAUGGCACAUUGUGACAAAAAGGAUGUUCUUAUUGUAGGCGGUGUGGGUUGUAACGAGCGCUUGCAAGAGAUGAUGAGAACAAUGUGCUCCGAGCGGGGUGGAAGGCUGUUUGCAACGGAUGACCGAUAUUGUGUUGACAACGGAGCAAUGAUUGCGUACACCGGUCUGCUUGCUUUUGCUCAUGGUUCAUCAACUCCGUUAGAGGAAUCAACCUUUACCCAGCGAUUCAGGACGGAUGAAGUGCAUGCAGUCUGGAGAGAAAAAGAAGAUUCAGCUUGCAAGAAUGGUAGUCAUUAAGGAAGCUAGCUGAUUCAGAUGGUAGAUUUAGAGGUAGGAUCAUUCUGGCAGUGCCAGCAGUAAUUUAGUAUUAAGCUUGCGAAUGAAUUUUGAUUAAAGAUGUUGUAAAUUUAAAGUAGGAAGCAAAUUAUUUUGUGUUCAAGCAUUUAAAAUAGUUCGUAUUUUCUUCUUAGUAAUGUACAUCCACAAUUUUAAGGAUGAGUUAUAUAAAGCACUCUUAAUUAUAAUGAGAGAUGGUUUAGCGGACGAUGUUAUUUAUGUUAUCGUAUUACCAUGGACAUACGUUGGUUAAUUUACAACUUCAACUCCACUUAUGAGAUUUUAUUAAAUUAUGCCGAUCGAAAGAAGUUGUUCGCUAAAUUGUAAAUCCGUAAAUAUGAAAAUUUUUAUGGGCUAAUGGGCUUGUUUAGUUGAGAUGAGAUGGAGAAUGAAGGCCAGGCCCAAUUAAGCCCAAAAUAUACACAACGCAGCAAACUAAAAGGGCACGAUCAAUUUCGCAGUUUCCACUUUCCAUAUUCCUCCACACGACUGACAGAAGAAGAAGAAGCAUCGAUCGAAAGAGUUAGCGAGUGUUGACAAAAUAAGUGAAAGGAUGGGGCACACAGGCGAGUUCUUCAGGCGGAGAGAUGGGUGGAGAAAGCAUCCACUGCUGACGAGCAAUCUGCGUCAAGCCACCCCAGGACUCGGCAUCGCUCUCGUCGCUUUUGGAAUCUAUCUUGUUGGCGAACAAGUCUACAAUAGGGUCAUCGCUCCUUCUCCUUCUCAUUCUCACCACACCCACCACCAGCACUCCGCUGCGUCCUCUUCUCACUGAAGCUCUUCAGCUCUCCUGCUUCUCUCAGGUCUGUUGUUGAAUUGAAUUGCCCCCACAUUUGACUGCAAAAAUUUCUCUUUUUCUUUUCUGGGUUAUAUUGUUUAAUAACAUUUUGUUAGGUUUGUUUUCGGUGUGAUUUUUUGAGAUUUGGGGUUUUGCUGUGGAUUUUAUGAUAUGGGUAUGUGAUAAAUUUUUAGGUUUUUCUUAGUUUAGUUUAACAAUCUGGUCAGAUUCAUCCAUCGUGCUUCAGCUGCUGACCCUACACAUUUGAGAAUAAAUUCAUCUUCUUGCCUGUUUUUGAUAGAAUUAGCAUUCGUCUGUCUUUUUUUUAUUUAUUUAAAUUAUGAUAUGUUUGUUAACCAUGCGAGUCUGUGUAAAAUUUUGGAUUUUAUGGGUUUUUUGUGAAAUGAAUAUGUCUGAAAUUUAUGUUUUUAUUGAUAUUAAGAUCUAGACGGGUUCACCUGCUCUCUGGCCAGCUGGGUAGUACACUUCAUUUCUUUUGCAUUUUAUGUAUUAUGCUUAUUUCCUUGCUAUUGGUGCUAGAUUUCGGAUUUUCUGGUACUUUAUGACGUGUUUGUAUCUAGUUUAGGUUUUUAUUUGUAUUAUGGCCACAUUGGUUUCAUUGCUCUCAUCAUUUCUGAUUGCUAAGUCAUACUCAUUUGAUGUGCAUCAUAUGGUUAUUGUCUUGUUUAUUCACAUGAUCUUUAGUUGAGCCAAAUGUGUAGAGUUGUUACUGUUCAACAGGGGUUUCUAUUUAGUAAUCACUCCAUGUGAAGCAGUCCCUCUUUUUCCUUAUGCAAUGUUGCUGCUAUUUCAUUCAAUUUGACUAUGAUUUUGUUGUUUAUAGCUAAUUGAUCAUCAUUGAUGGAGGAAUGUUAGGAAAUUAAGUUGUAUUAAAUACUAAAUAUAGACAAUUUGGUUAGGCAUAAGACGAAUGGAAAAUGUUUGUUCUUAGAUGCUGGGCAGUAAGUUAUUUACUUACACUGAUGAAGUUAUAACUAACACUAGUUUCAUAUGGCUGAGUGAUUUACUUGUAUGGUUAUUUUAUCUGUUGGGAAUGCAGUUGUGGGGAUUAGCUGGUUCCACCGGCAAGUUCUUUUUCACUUUGAUGGGGUGUGUUAGGAAUGAAUGACAUUCAAACUGUGGAUUUGAUGCCAGGGGCUUUUCAACUCUAUGGAGGGCAGGGGAUAAGGGUCGCAAAGAACACCUUGGAGAUUGUCAUUUCUAGGAUGAGCAAUAAUACCCUUCUGAAAAUUCAUUGGUUUGUCAGUGUUUGAUUUAUGACCAUCCGAUUUCUGAUCCUACAAUUUUUUGGGCUAAUUUAGAAAUCAUAUGGUGUUAAAUACUGUAUCUUAUUUGGUAGUAUUUUACGAAAUAAUAUACGAAAUAAUAUUUGCUUAUGAUUGACUUUACAAAACAAUAUCCGGUGUGCUUGUAUUAACCCUGCUGUGUUUUCGGAAGGCUUGCAAGUAAUUUUACAGUACAGAGGGCUGCUUUGUUAUUCUGUUAGUUGGUUAUUGAUGUAGAACAGGCCGUAGCUUGGACAGUUUUUUCUUUAUUUUAAGUUUUUUUUUUUUUUUUUUAAUUCUGUCUGUAGAACUUUAUUGUGUUAAAAUAAUUUGAAUUUACACAGUUUGGUAAAUUCACGUUAUUUAGUGUUUUAGUAUAAAAGGGAGCUGAACCCUAUUUGUUUUGGUUGGUUGAUUCAUAAUAUUAAAAAAAAAAAUCUUUUUGAGAAGAUUUGUUCUUUCUUUACUUUCAUGUUGUGUCAGUUAUCCCCAUUAAAGUUUACAAUUGCCCUUUAUUAUUCUUUGACGAGGAGCUUUUGCGAAUCUGUGAUUUAAGCUGACAGAAUUGUUACAUGCAAAUUUAAUAUGACCAAACAGAUCCUCUAUCUAGCCCUCCUAGUUAUGUAUCUAUCUUGAUUAUUUUCUUAAUAGGUGGCUGAAGAUGGUGGUCACAUGUUGGAAGAGGAUUGAAGUUUGGACCUGUUUUCAUUUCCCAUUUUGUUAUUUGAUUUAAUAAGAUCAACUUUGCCAUGUUUAGUGUUACUUUGUUGUGUAUUAAGUUUAGUGUGUUAGACUUGAUCUGAUAUGUAGAUGUUUAAUCUUUUGCUUUUGAUAUCGUUAUGCAUUCAAUGGCUCUACAUUUGGUGCCUGAAAUGUUUCGAAUAAAGAAGUUUCCUUAUAUAAAUAUGUUGUCUUAUUUAUAUAUUUUUUGAUCAAGUUUUCUAUUUUUAUGCAUGACGUUUUUAUGGUUCGUUUCCUUAAUUUAAUUUUUUUGUACCAGUCAUUGAAAAAAGGAAUGUAACUUAAAAUGAUGACUUAAAUUUUCAUUCGUUUCAUUUCAUUCAAUCUAAAGGUGUAUAUUUUUUUGUCAAAAAUCUGCAAUGAGUCACCUUUAUUCUUGUAUUAUUCAAAUGAAUAGAUCAGCCGAAUGAAAGUUUAAUUAAAAGAUUGAAUAGAUUAAAUGGAUGAAAAUUGAAGUAAAAUGUUGAAGUUAAGGAGCCCUAAAAGUUAUAGAAGAAACUCGAUGAGAGUAACGUUGAAAAUAUGUUAUCUGUUAUGGUUAAAAAUAUGUUAUCCGUACUUUAAGAACUUUCGGAUUUUUAUGUAUGUGUGUGUAGUUCUUUUCUAAUGCAAGUGUCUUCAUUUUUUUUUAUAUCCAGACACAUUUUUUAAAUCAUAAGAUUUAAGAGAGUUAGGUUGUGUUUGUUUUUUUAUUUGAAAUUUGAAUAGGUAUGAAUUUAACUGAAGUCUGAAUAGGUCUGAAUGAAAAUAUCUUAGUGAUAUAUUGUUUUUUUGUUUUCAACAUCUAAAGAGAGAGAUUUAAAAGAUAGGAGUUUGACAUAAAUAUCAUUUUAAGUGGUGCAUAUAUUUGUUCUUCACAAUUUAUGAUUUUCACAGGUUGAUUAAUUUGGUAGCAUUAAAAAAAAAUACUAUCAUUGUUGAUCUUAAUUUAAUUUUUUAAUAAAAAAAUGUAAUAAUAACAUCAAAUUUUAUUAUAAAAUCAAAACUGUUAUUUUAUUUUUUAUUUAUCACAAUGGACAUAUUUUAAUUUGUUCAAUAUUUCAGUUUAGUUAAUGUUAUCAUGUGAAUAAAAAUUUAAACCAAUUAAAAAAAUAACUUCAAGAAUAAUAUAUAAAUAUUAAGUUUAUACAUAAUAUUGAAAAUACAUGAAUUAUUAAGGGUAUUUUUGAGAUUUGAAAUUGAAAUUUUACAUUUAGACUUCACACUUCAAAUAAAAGUGGAAUUUUUUCUACUUUUUCUAUUCAGAUAAAAUUGUUUGAUAAUAAGUGAUAAGUUAAAAAAAUAAAUAACCUAAAAUAAAUAAAUAUCUGAAAAAAAAUUAAAUUCAGACUUCAGACUAAAAAAUAAAUAGUAUCUUAAUUUUUAAUUAUUUUAAAUCAUAUAAUUUAAGAACGUGUCUGCAUUAUAAAAAAAAAUAUAAACGCUCGUACUUAAAAAUAAUUAUACAAAAGAGUAUGCGUAGAGUGGAAGGAUAUAAUUAUUAUAUCCUGAAUGAACAAACCAACAGGCCAGCUCGAUUUUUAUUAUGAUAAUUCCUAGAGCCGUUAAAUAAGAAAUUUACAGUUUAUGGCGGGGCCUCAUAAUAAAAAAUUAUUAUUUUAACUAGUGGAAAAGAACAAUAUAUUUAAAUUGGUCUUGGAGAAUGGUCGGUGAAUGAAGCCAAAUUAAAUUUGCACGAAAAAUCCAAGAACAUGUGAGACUUGCUGCAAUUAUUGUAUUAUGUGUCCUCCGCUAUAAUUCAAAGCAAAUGAAAUCCGUGACAAUAUAUAUGUAAUCAAGUAGCUGGUCCAAGGCGCAUUAAAAAAAAGGGGUAGCUGGUCCAAGGGCAAGUUGUGAAUUAUUCCAAUAUAAAAUUAUUUGAUUGUUAACGACGUUUUUUUAUUUAAAAUUAUAAAAUUAUUUUAAUAGAUAAGUAUAUUAAAAUUAUAUUAUUAAAGGAAUGAAAUAAAUAAGAAUAUUUUAAAAAAAUCUAUUUUUUUAAUAUAAAAACUCUACAACUUCAAAAGUCUAAAAACUUAAACUUUUGUUAAUAAAAAUAAAAUAAUUUAUUUAAUCUCUAAAAAUUCAACUCAAAAUUCGAUCAAACAAUACUAAAAAUUUUAAAAAGAUCUUUAAAAACGAAAUAAAUAUUUUUAAGCAUUAAAAAAGUUAUAUUAAACAUGCACUUAUUACAUAUAUAGACGGAUUAAACAUGCACUUAUACGAGGAACAUUACCCAGCCCCUGGGGACUUGGAACUCAUAUCCUAAAUGUUGAGGGCAUGCGUUCUCACCUAUGCCCCUAGAGGGAAGUCACUUAUCUAUGACGGUUACUUUGCCAUAAAUAUCUGUUUACGGAAGAGCAAUAUUCACCAUACAAAACCUCUAGUUGGAUAAGCCCUCUCCUUUUAACUUUUUUUUUCGAUUUUUUGAAUACACACACACACACACACGCACACAAAUCAUAAUUGAAGCGCCAUCGAUAUAAUUAGGAGAACUUGCAACGAGAGAAGCUGCUGGCAUCUCCCAAACAAGCUUGAAAAAGUAGUCAGUAAGAGUUGUGCACAGGAAAAAAAAAAAAAAAAGCAUGGGAAAUAAUAAUGUGAUGGGAUUGGGAGGUGGUGUCUUAGCAGCGAUCAUAGUGUCAAUAUUGGCUGCAUCUAGAAGCUUUGAAUGCAUCUAGAAGUUUUGAAUAAACAAGUUUUUUGCACACGGCUUUGAAGAUUGAAAAUGCCGAAAUUGUUGAGGAAGAAAGAAGACUUUGGCAGCUGCAAAAGAGGAAGAAGAAUGAAGAAAAAUCAAAGGCGGUUUAAAAUAUAAUAAUAUUUUAAAAGCCAAUUUUGGCUAUAUAAAGGGAGCUCUUCAUUUGGUUUUUAGCAUCUAAUUCCAUCGAGAGAGAAGCAUUGUCUUCCUUUAGAGUUGAGAGUUUUAAGAGUUUAAUAAACUUUUGAGUGUCUAGUGAGUUAGAGAGUUUGGGUGUAUUGGGGUUUUGGGAAGUGAGCUAAAAUACUACAACACUUGUAACUCCUUUUCACUAGUAAAAUAUUUCAUUCUGUCUUCGCCCGUGGAUGUAGGCUAAAAGCCGAACCACGUAAUUUUUGGUGUCCUCUAUUGUGCUUGUUCUUUAUUUUAUUUCCAAUUUUAUUUUAGCUGUGGUCCUGCUGCACCUACCAAUUCCCUAACAGUGGUAUCAGAGCUAUUGGUUGUAUUUUUGGAGUCAGGAACUGUUCACGUAAGGGGUACUAUUCACGUAUACGGCACCGUACACGUAUACGGUACUGUUCAUGUACACGGUGUUGUUCACAUAGACUGAACUAUUCACGUAUACGGUACUAUUCACGUGAAGCGGUGGAAGCGAUCCAAGAAUUUUGCGGUGCAAAGCAGGGAAUAGUGGUGUGAGUAAAGCAACUGUGUGGUUUUGUACAUGUCUAGGAAAGUUCUGUCACAAAGGCGAUAAGAGCUUAAGGAGUCUGGGUUUUAAGUGGGACCAUUGUGACCCCUCCAGUCUUUCCUGGGAACUUUCCUGGUGUGCAUUCUUACACAUACUCACAACUAUUCAAGGUGGUAUACUUGCUUGUGUGCAGUAUUUAUCAACAAAAUGGCGGCAAAGUAUGAAAUUGAGAAAUUUAACGGAAAUAAUUUUUCGUUGUGGAAAAUGAAGAUGAAAGCUGUAUUGAGGAAAAAUAAUUGCUUGGCAGCAAUUGGAGAAAGACCCAUGGAGAUAACUGAUGACAAGUGGAACGAGGUAGACGGCAACGCCAUUUCUGAUCUACACUUGGCACUUGCAGACGGAGUAUUAUCCAGUGUGGCAGAGAAAAACACAGCGAAGGAAAUAUGGGAUACUCUCACAAAAUUGUAUGAGGCCAAGUCACUACACAACAAAAUCUUCUUGAAGAGAAAACUCUAUACUCUUCGAAUGGCAGAAUCUACAAUGGUGACCGACCACAUCAACACAUUGAAGACUCUAUUUUCACAACUCACAACGUUGGGUCAUAAUAUAGAGGAAAAUGAACGUGCAGAGCUUCUACUUCAAAGUCUACCAGAUUCGUAUGAUCAACUCAUCAUCAACCUAACGAACAACAAUCCAGUGGAGAGUCUAGUUUUCGACGAUGUUGCAGCCUCCGUAUUAAAUGAGGAGAGCAGGCGGAAAAAUAAGGAAAACAGACAAGCAAGUUCGCAGCAAGCGGAGGCGCUAUCAGUGACGAGAGGGAGAUCAACGGAACGUGGCCCCAGUGGGAGUCAAAAUCAGGGUAGAUCAAAAUUCAGAGGUAAGAAGAAUGUUAAAUGCUACAACUGUGGCAAGAAAGGGCACGUUAAGAAAGAAUGUUGGAGUAACCAGAAGAGAAGAGAGGGCAAAGAACCUGAGACAUCAAAUGCUCAGGGGUGUGUAGCAAGUACCUCGGAUGAUGGCGAAAUUCUCUACAGUGAGGCAACAACUGUUUCAGAAGGCAGAAAACGACUUUCUGAUGUCUGGCUUAUAGACUCAGGAGCUACCUGGCACAUGACCUCUAGGAGAGAAUGGUUCCACACAUAUGAACCUAUCUCAGGAGGAUCUGUAUAUAUGGGUAACGAUCAUGCCUUGGAGAUCGCUGGUAUUGGUACUAUCAAAAUAAAAAUGUUUGAUGGUACAAUUCGCACAAUUGGAGAGGUACGACAUGUCAACGGCCUGAAGAAAAAUCUAUUGUCUUUGGGACAAAUGGAUAGUCAUGGGUACAAAACUCAUGUGGAGAAUGGAAUUAUGAAGAUCGUUAAAGGCGCGCUUGUAUUGAUGAAGGUAGAAAAGAUCGGUGCUAAUCUAUUCAUGCUUAAAGGAGAAACACUACAGGAGGCUGAUGCGUGUGUCGCAUCAAAUGGAGAAGAGUCAACGAUGAUGUGGCAUCUCAAACUUGGCCACAUGUCGGAACAAGGUUUGAAGAUUCUCUCUGAGCGAAAAUUGCUUCCAGGGCUCAAAUCGGUAAGUUUACCAUUUUGCGAGCAUUGUGUUACAAGUAAGCAGCAUAGAUUAAAAUUCAGUAGAUCUAUUGCUAGAAGUAAAUGCAUUCUCGACUUGAUUCAUUCUGAUGUUUGGGAAUCACCGGAUAUAUCCAUGGGAGGUGCAAAGUACAUGGUGACUUUCAUUGAUGAUUAUUCCAGAAGAUGUUGGGUGUAUCCAAUUAAGAAAAAGUCAGAUGUAUUUCCUGUGUUUAAAGAAUACAAAGCGUGGGUGGAACUUGAAUCUGGUAAAAAGAUCAAGUGCUUGAGGACAGAUAAUGGUGGAGAAUAUACAGACGGCGAGUUUCUUGCUUUCUGUAAGCAAGAAGGUAUUCAGAGACAGUUCACGGUGGCAUACACUCCUCAACAAAAUGGAGUGGCAGAACGGAUGAACAGAACUCUUACAGAAAGAAUAAGAGCUAUGUUGAGGACUGCUGGUCUACCCAAUUCAUUCUGGGCAGAAGCAGCCAAAACUGCCUGUUAUAUAGUAAAUCGGUCGCCAUCUACAGCUAUUGGGUUGAAGACAGCGAUGGAGAUGUGGACUGGAAAGCCAGCUGAUUAUUCCUACCUACAUGCAUUUGGAUGUCCUAUGUACGUGAUGUACAAUGCCCAAGAAAGAACAAAGCUGGAUGCAAAAUCUAGAAGAUGUAUCUUCUUGGGGUAUGCUGAUGGAGUAAAGGGGUAUCGUCUGUGGGACCCCACUGCCCAUAAGAUCGUCAUCAGCAGAGAUGUUAUCUUUGUAGAAGAUCAACUGCAAAGAAAAGAUGGAGAUGAUGGCACUGUAAAAGAAAAGUCUGAGACUGUGCCAGUAUAUGUCGAAAAUAAUCCAGAAAAUUCAGAUUCUUCUGAAGCAGCACCAGAGCACGAGGAACAAGAACCAGUCGAGUCCGAGGCUCCAGAAGUUCGUCGGUCAACUCGUGAGAGACGACCGCCAACGUGGCACUCGGAGUAUGUCACAGAGAUCAAUGUUGCAUACUGUCUUCUAACAGAGGAUGGAGAGCCUUCAACUUUCCAUGAAGCUUUAAACAGUUCAGAUGUUGCUUUGUGGAUGACAGCAAUGCAGGAAGAAAUUGAAGCUCUACACAAGAACAAGACAUGGGAACUUGUACCACUACCACGUGGAAGAAAAGCCAUUGGAAACAAAUGGGUCUACAAGAUCAAACGUGAUGGUAAUGACCAAGUGGAGCGGUAUCGUGCGAGAUUGGUGGUGAAAGGAUAUGCUCAGAAAGAAGGUAUUGACUUCAAUGAGAUAUUUUCUCCGGUGGUUCGACUCACAACAGUCAGAAUAGUCUUGGCAAUGUGUGCCACAUUUGACCUACAUCUAGAGCAGUUAGAUGUGAAAACUGCAUUUCUUCAUGGAGAACUUGAAGAAGAAAUAUAUAUGCUCCAACCAGAAGGUUUUGCAGAAACAGGAAAGGAGAACUUGGUUUGCAGGUUGAACAAAUCUCUAUACGGUCUCAAACAGGCGCCGAGGUGUUGGUAUAAGAGAUUUGAUUCCUUCAUCAUGAGCCUUGGAUACAACAGACUCAGUUCAGACCAUUGUGCAUAUUACAAGAGGUUUGAAGAUAAUGAUUUCAUCAUUUUGUUGUUGUAUGUGGAUGACAUGUUGGUAGCAGGUCCCAACAAAGAUCGAAUCCAAGAAUUGAAGGCACAGUUGGCUAGGGAGUUUGAAAUGAAGGACUUGGGACCAGCAAACAAGAUUCUAGGGAUGCAAAUUCACCGAGACAGAAAUAACAAGAAGAUUUGGCUUUCGCAGAAGAAUUAUUUGAAGAAAAUCUUGCGGCGCUUCAACAUGCAAGAUUGUAAGUUAAUUUCUACCCCACUUCCUGUUAAUUUCAAAUUAUCCUCAAGUAUGUGUCCUAGUAAUGAAGCAGAGAGGAAGGAGAUGUCUCGAGUACCGUAUGCAUCAGCGGUGGGAAGUUUAAUGUUCGCUAUGAUAUGUACAAGACCGGACAUUGCACAAGCAGUGGGAGCAGUCAGUCGAUACAUGGCGAAUCCUGGUGGAGAGCAUUGGAUAGCUGUGAAGAGGAUUCUGAGAUACAUCAGAGGAACCUCAGAUGUUGCAUUAUGUUAUGGAGGAUCAGAGUUUACUGUCAGAGGCUAUGUAGAUUCAGAUUUUGCAGGAGACCUUGAUAAAAGGAAAUCCACUACUGGUUAUGUGUUUACACUUGCGGGAGCAGCUGUAAGCUGGGUUUCAAAACUGCAGACCGUUGUGGCUUUAUCUACAACAGAAGCAGAAUACAUGGCAGCUACACAAGCUUGCAAGGAAGCUAUUUGGAUACAAAGAUUAUUGGAGGAGCUCGGGCACAAACAACAGAAAAUUCCUGUGUUUUGUGACAGUCAGAGUGCCUUGCACAUUGCAAGGAAUCCAGCCUUUCAUUCCAGGACAAAGCACAUAGGAGUCCAGUAUCACUUCGUUCGUGAAGUAGUGGAAGAUGGAAGUGUGGAUUUGCAGAAAAUCCAUACCAAAGAGAACCUAGCAGAUGUUUUGACCAAGCCGAUAAAUACUGAUAAGUUUGUCUGGAGUAGAUCCUCUUGUGGCCUAGCAGAAACGUAGGCAACAUGAUUAUGGCGAAGCAGAAAGGAUGGUGUGGAGAUUGAUUGAUUUUUCAAUUUAAUCUCCAAGUGGGAGAAUGUCAAUAUUGGCUGCAUCUAGAAGCUUUGAAUGCAUCUAGAAGCUUUGAAUAAACAAGUUUUUUGCACACGGCUUUGAAGAUUGAAAAUGCCGAAAUUGUUGAGGAAGAAAGAAGACUUUGGCAGCUGCAAAAGAGGAAGAAGAAUGAAGAAAAAUCAAAGGCGGUUUAAAAUAUAAUAAUAUUUUAAAAGCCAAUUUUGGCUAUAUAAAGGGAGCUCUUCAUUUGGUUUUUAGCAUCUAAUUCCAUCGAGAGAGAAGCAUUGUCUUCCUUUAGAGUUGAGAGUUUUAAGAGUUUAAUAAACUCUUGAGUGUCUAGUGAGUUAGAGAGUUUGGGUGUAUUGGGGUUUUGGGAAGUGAGCUAAAAUACUACAAUACUUGUAACUCCUUUUCACUAGUAAAAUAUUUCAUUCUGUCUUCGCCCGUGGAUGUAGGCUAAAAGACGAACCACGUAAUUUUUGGUGUCCUCUAUUGUGCUUGUUCUUUAUUUUAUUUCCAAUUUUAUUUUAGCUGUGGUCCUGCUGCACCUACCAAUUCCCUAACACAUAGUUAUGAUGAUACUCUUCUUCACAGCGAAUCAAUCUUGUGCUGCAGGCAACGGCACCAACAUUACUAAUUUCCAUAUUGAUCCUGAUGUGUUGUUCUUUUAUGAUGAUCCAGAAUCGGAAUUGGCUGCUGCCGCGACUGCAACAAACGUAUUGAAUAUGAAAUCCUUGAAGCUGCCUCCGGUGUUCGAUUGCGGAAAAGGCCAAGGCCCAGCCUAUCGCUCUUGUACCCCUCCUCCCCAGGGUUCCAAAAGGGGUGAACAUUGCCCACCUAACGGCGCGUACAAUCGAGGGUGCCAUUAUUAAGCCUUAAGUCUGCACUGCUGCAUCCAUGCAUAUGCAUUAAUAAAUAAAUUAAUUGAAACUUGUAAUUUGAUUAGCACUAAUUAAUUCGUUGUUAAAUUAGCUAAGGUUACUCCAUCUUGAUGCUAUCGUUCAUGUUCACUCAUUUCAAUUCUACCAUACUCGUCCUGAAUUUAUUAACUUUCCAUGUGCGUGCGUAUUAACAGCCUGGAGAAGUAAUUAAUUAAUUGAUUAACCAUUGAUGGCAUUUUGCAUGACCUACUCUUAAUUACCGGCCUCUCGAAGGGAAACCCGCUACGAUAUAAAUCAAACAACUGAACGUACAACUUCAUUACAUUUCCCGCAAUAAUGCCUAACAUUCAAUGAUUUAUCUGCUCCCUCCCAUCAUGCCUUAAUUAAUUGUUACCACAACAUCAUCCCGAAUUUUGUAAUUACAAUUAAUUAUAUAUGUUAGCUAUUUUUCUUUUUAAUAAAUAAUUUUACAGACACAGACACAAUUAGCGUGGCAUAUGGGAGGAUGUUUAGUUGAAACUUGGAAGCGAUAUCAAUUAAUCCAUCAUGCUUUUGUCCAACUUCUACAGAUCUUCACGAUUAUGAAAUCUAUUAUUUCUUUUCCAUUCACUUCUUGUGAUACAUUGUCCGCCCCACGUGUUAGCCUUUAAUUAUGCCAUCUUGCAACAUAAAGCCCAUUGUUUGAGAAUUAAUCUCAGUUAAAGGGGCAGCUGAGACUUGAGCCAUGAACUUUGAUGGUCACGUAGGUGGUGUCGUCCAUGUGCCAAGUAUAAAUCAAUCAAGCUUUUAAGUAAUUAUUGGUUGGGCGAAAAUGAAAGCAAAGUGCAUAUUUAUGACUAGCUGUAGAAGAGAGCGAAAGGGCAGAACGAGCGUAUAAAGGGAGCUUUCGAUGACUUGGCUCAAAUAAAGGCAGUUUUAUAUUUAUACACGGAUGGUGCAGUCAGUGACUUGACUAUAUGUGUAUUUCCUUGUUUUUUUUUUUUCUUUUUAAAUACCCAAAACUAAAAAACAGGGCAUGCACUCUGUUUAUAUUUCUAUGAAAUCGUUGUUCAUUAAGCAAAUUUCUUCCUCUAAGUUCAGAUAAUUUCAUGAUUUGUCACUGACUGCACCCAAUAAAAAGAUAAAGAAUCAAAAGGACAUAUUUUAUGUGUAAAUACACAUCAAAUCUCUUUUAUCAAUCAAAAUUUUAUUAUUAUUAAUAAAAUAGGCUGUAUAGCAUAUUCUAUUUUCUCCCUCAGCUAAGAUACUAAUAUAUUACCAAAUUAAUUCGUAAACGGAAAUUAAGAAAGUUAGAUCUCCAGUGAUUGUCCGUGCAAUCUCUGACUUGGCGGCACUGGAUUUUAUCAAUGCUUCGUUGUUAAAAUUUCCCGUGAAGGACGUAUAAAUUGCUGCCAUGGUGAUCUUUGCAAAGGAUGUGACCAUUGCUGCGCUGGAUAAUACUGCUGGGGAUGUGAACAUUGCUGUGCUGGGUAUAAAAUGCAAGGGAUAUGAAUGUAAUUGGAGAUCGUUUUCAUUUUUGUUUGUCGUUUUCGCUUUUUCAAGGUUGGUAAAUGGAGAGUGAAGAAACAGCAGAUCAUCGAGGAGGAUUCACUAACUUUCGUGAAUUUAGAGAGGGGUUUCCUUGAGAUUAUGUGCUUGUUUGGUACGACUUAUUUAAUGGUCACAAGUGAAGUACUUAUUUAAUAUCAUCAGCUCUUAUUUUAAUUUUCGUUAUUGUUUAGUUGUUUAUUUAAUAGAGCAUUUGAAAUUUAAAUAAGUUAUUUUGUCUUUUUUAACAAAACCUCAAAUUUUUUUGGGCAUAGGACGAAUGAAAAACAUUUGUUCUUGGAACACCUUUUCCUAGUUUCAAAUAGAAGUGAGAGAGAGUUGAUGCUAAAAAGACCGCCAGACUUAUAUUUUUCCAUGAGAAUUAUGUGUUAUGUGGAACUAAUUUUAAUUUACUUUCGUGAUCUUGUUACAAUGUUAGCUCUUUGUUCAUGAAUUGAUUAAUACUUGUUUCUUUUUACUCAAAAGUCUUCAUCUUAUUAACUUGCAUCAUCUUUUUCUUCUUCUUUUUCUCCGCGUGGUCUUCAAUCACCUAGUUUCUCUCCUAUAGGAUGAGCAUUAAUACCCAUCCGAAAAUGCAUUGGUUUGUCGCUGUUUGAUAAAUGACAAGCGGAUUUCUCGUCCCACAAUUUUUUUGGUCCAAAUGAGAAAUAAUAUGGUAUCAACUACUGUAUCUUGACUGGUAUUAUUUUAAGAAAUAGCAUUUGCUUACUAUUUGACUUAACAAAACAAUAUCCAGUGCGCUUGUAUUAACCCUGCUGCGUUUUUUUCACAAUAUCUAUUUCUAUUCUUUGCUGAGGACUUUUGUGAAUCUGUGAUAUAAGCUGGCGGAAUCGCUGCAUCCAAAUUUAAUAUGAGAAAACAUAUCCUCAAGCUAGCCCGCUUAACGCGUAGCGGAUAUUAGUAAUAAGAAUGACCAUAGCACAGCCACAGAAACGGCGCAGCCCCAUUCUAUCAUUUUUGUGCCCCCUCCUCAAACUUUUUUGAUAUCACUCUUUAUUUCACCAUACUCUAUUUUGAUUAAUUCGAUUUAUUUCUCAAAUUACUCCCAUUAAAAAUAUUUUAUCUCUAUUGUUUCUCACUUGCUCUUCUCAUUAUAUUUCAACUAAUGGUACAACAAUCGAAAUGGAAAAUUUAGAAUCAAAAUCAAUGACAUGUUUACUUGCAAAAUUAAGGUUUGGGAUUGGAACUGAAGUAGUGUCGGACCCACAAAUUUGAGAAUCACUACCAUAGCUCUGAUUCCAAAGCGAGGGGUUUGGAAUCUGAAUUCGAUUUCUAUAACUACCCAUUUUACUCCCAUUAAACUUUUAUAAUCUCUAAAUUACUCUCAAGUAAGUUAUGUCAUUUUUUUCUUUUUGGUUCCCAUGGAAUUUAUCAAACAAACUCAAAUUUCUUGAAUUAUUUGCAAAUAGGUCCUUUAUUGUUUAUAAUAAUGUAAUAAUAAUAUUAUAUUAUUAUCAUUAUUAUAUUUAAAAUUUAUUUAUUUUAUUAUUUUAAUUAUUAUUAUUGUCAUUAAUUUCAUCAUCAUCAUCAUUUCAUCAUCAUUAUUAUUAAUUUUUUUUUUAUUUUUCUUUUAGGAAAACAUGGUACACAUAAAUAGCUAGACAAAGAGAAUCUCUUAUAUAUAUCAAGAGAUCUUACAAGUUAAAUUGAACCAAAUUGAGACCAUCAUACAAUUGACGGGUAAUAACAGUACCCAUACUUUUAUUUUCUUAAACAUAACAUAAGAGACUAAUACUGCAUAUUCUUAACCAGUGUGAUCAGGGUUUCUUCCAUAUUGCGGGACCACAAGAAGAUCAAUAUUUCCAUUAAUUUCAUCAUCAGCAAUAAGUGAAAAAGUUGUGGCUAUAAGCCCCUCCGACCAAUCGGUAUAACCUGAAAAAUUCAUGUUAUAAAACUUAAUCACAAAUACACAUAUUAAAAUAAGAAUUAUAAAUGACAUUUAUUUGAAAAUGGAUGGCCUAUGUAUAAACCUGCGCAAGGAGUUCCCAUAAUCUUCAAAUCAGGAAGGCAAACGAUUUCUGCUGGCUUCGACUGAACCGUAUUCAAAACUCAAAAGGUAAGUAGUUGUGCUUGAGCGAGUUCUUAUUUCUGGUUUGAUCUGAUAUAUAUAGAUCAAGUAGCCGACACUACGGUGCCAACGUGGCAAAGUAACAAGUUGUGCAUGGUAAAGAUAAUGGAUCAAUGGUUCUAAUUUAAUCGUACAAUAAGUAGGGAAGGUCAACAGCUCUAUAUGGUUAAGUUAGUGCAUGUGUGAUACAUGAUUCAAAAAAUAAAUAAUUCUAAAUACGAAGGACACGAGCAAAUAAAGUAAUAAAUGCAAUUACCAAAUAAUAGUGCGUGGUAUACUAUAGAUAAUGGAUCAACCAUUCAGAUUUCAUCAUACAAUAAGUAGGUAAGAUUAACGGUUAGUGUUAAAUCAUUGCAUGUGCGAAACAUGGUCCACAAAAUAAAUAGUAGUAAACAAGAAAGACGAAUAAAGUAAUCAAAUACCAUGUCAUCAGAUAAAAAGAAAAAAAGAAAGGUAUACAUACCAUUACGAAACAAUUGCUUGGUAAAGAUAACAGAUUUACCGCUGAAGUCUGAUAAUUGUAAGAUUAACGGCUAUAUAUGGUUCAACUGCAUGUGUAAAUAAAGUAUGAAUGAAUGGGUCCAGGAAAUAAAUAAGAAGACCACAAGCAUAGUGGUCUAAAAAAUAAAUAAGAAGCGAACUGACGAUACAUAUAGAUCAAGUAGAUCAAGUAGCCGACACUACGGUGCCACGUAUCAAAUAAACAAGUCGUGCAUGGUAAAGAUAAUGGAUCAACGGUUCUAAUUUAAUCGUACAAUAAGUAGGUAAGAUUAAGGGCUCUAUAUUGUUAAAUUAUUGCACGGGCGAAAUAUGGUCCAAAAAAUAAAUAGUUGUAAAUAAGAAAGACGAACAAAUUAAGUAAUUAGUACCACUACCGAACACAGUGCAUUGGAAGGACUGGCUUUCUUCCUUUUUAUGAGAGCAAAGAACGAAAUUUUGUAAUAGUUUUACUUAACAGCUGAAAGUUAAUUUCAUUUUUAUAUCUUUCUUUUCCUUCUUUAUUUUUUAUAUUUUUCUGUUAUUAUUAUAAUUUUUCUUUUAUGUCAGUACGAGAGGCGUGUAAUGUUUUUGGUUUACUAAACCCUUAAUUCUCUUUCUAUUCAACAUCAAAUCUAACUAUCCUUGUAAAGCUUUAAAAUAGUCGAUUAUAGUUAAUUAUUUGAAAAAUAAUAACUAAAGUAAAUAAGUAUUUUUUUUUUUUUGGUGUAUUAAACUAUCUGGUAUCUAAAGACUACAUUGGGCCCCGACUAAUUUAGAUUCGAGACAGGCAGGACCAUUGAGGCGCCAAAGCUCUCCCAACAAGUAUUUAACACAACUGUACUCCCAAGUCUCGAACUGAGGACUUUGGUUAAGUUAAAACAACUCUAUGCCAACUGAUUUACGCGCUUGUCAGAUGUAAAUAAGCAUUUUAGUUAUCACAAUUAAACUCUUCUUUAGCAUUUAAUAGAAGUAGUUCUAUGAGCAUGGGUUUCGAGAGAGCAUGGCGGUGCGAAAAUGUUCGUGCGUUUACAGUCCCUAUGUUUUUAGUCAUAAUUUAUUUAGAUAUAGACAAAGACCCCUAAUGUUUAAAAAAUAGACACACAAAUGGCCCUUUUGAUUAUUUCACUCUUUGGUUCUAUUUAGCCAACGAAAAUUAAUUUCAAUCUAUUGUUCUAUAAUAAAUAUAAAUAUAGUAUUUAAAUCAGUGUAAUAAAUAAAUACAUUUUACAAUACAUAAACGUUAUUUGAGUUCUUUGCAAGAAUUAGCUAACCACUAUGCGGAGUUUGUUUAAGAAAAAUAUUGAAGAAGAGACAGCAUAAUUAAGCUGAUAGUAGAUAUAUAGCUAGACAAAGUUAAUCGACGUUAACAAACUGAUACACAAUACUUUUUUUAUUUAUUUUCUUAAACCUCGUUCACAAACAGAAUAUGUUUUUACUUUCAAUGGUACAUCAAUUUCUUGGAAGUCUACAAAACAGACUCUCGUUGCAACAUCCUCCAACCAUUCUGAAAUUCUUGCACUACAUGAAGCAAGUCGAGAAUGCAUAUGGUUGCGAUCUGUAAUCCAUCAUAUUCAAAGUACCUGUAGAAUAUCUUCAAGUUCAGAUAUCCCAACAGUGAUAUAUGAAGAUAAUGCUGCAUGUAUAGCUCAACUCAGAGGAGGAUACAUUAAAGAGGACAGAACAAAACAUAUUUCGCCGAAAUUCUUCUACACUCAUGAGCUCCAAUAGAACAAGAAGAUUGAUAUCAAACAGAUACGCUCCACGGAAAAUUUAGCUGAUAUGUUUACAAAAGCUCUACCUACAUCUACAUUCGAAAAAAUCGUAUAUGGUAUCGGCAUGCGUCGUUUUAACAAACUGAUAAAUUAAUGCAUGUUGCCUUUAGGAAGAGCACUCAACAAAAGGAGCGUGAUCUUACAAGAGAAGAAUCAUAGUAAUAUUGGACACAUAUGUACCAUACUCUUUUUUCUUUUUGACCAGGUUUUUCCACUGGAUUUUUACUGGCAAAGGUUUUUAAUGAGGCAGUAUCCAAUGUCAUCAGGGGGAGCACAUCUAAUAAAUAAUUGGUGAAUUCAAGGGGGAGUGUUGUAAAUCAUGGUGGAUUCCACCAAAAUAAUGCCCUCCCACCAAAAUAAGGCUCUCACAUUAUCAUCUUAUUGCUCUUCCCAUUAUCCUUUUUUAUAAUUAAUAAUUAUGAAUAACUCCACCUUGUAAUGCCUAUAUAAACCCUUUCUUUGUUAAUGAAUAAAGACAAUUUCAAUUCCUCGCUCAAGGCAUUUUACUUGUUUUCUUCAAUCUUUAUUUGAGUAUUCCUUACUUACAUAUUCCCAAUUAAAUAAUUACUUACAUACAAUCCCUUUAAAUUAUAACAUCCAUUAUCUCCAAAUUUAUAACAAAAACUUUAUUUUAAGUAGUGGAAAAGAACAGUAUAUUUAAAUUGUUCUCGGAGAAUGGUAGGUGAACGAGGCCAAAUUAAAUUUCCAAGAGCAUGUGAGACUUGCUCAAUUAUUGUAUUGUGUCCUACGCUAUAAUUAAAGCAAAUGAAAUCCGCGACAAUAUACGACAAUAUAUAUAUAUAAUCAAGUAGCCGGUCCAAAGCGCAUCAAAAAAGAAAAAGGGUAGCUGGUCUAAGGGCAAGUUGUGAAUUAUUCCAAUAAAAAAAAGUUGGAUUGUGACAGACAGUACGUAUACUGAGAGGAUGGAUUAGGUCUUUUAACUGUUAUAAAAUUAUUUGAUUGUUAAUGACGUCUUUUAUUUAAAAUUAUAAAAUUAUUUUAAUAAAUAAAUAUACUAAAAAUAUAUUAUUAAAGAAAUGAAAUAAAUAAGAGCAUUUUAAAAAAAUUAAUUAAAAAAAACUCUACAACCUUAAAAGUCUAAAAAUUUAAACUUUUGUUAAUAAAAGUAAAAUAAUUUAUUUAGUCUCUAAAAACUCAACUCAAAAUACGAUCUAACAAUACCAAAAUUUUUGAAAAGAUCUUUAGAAACGAAAUAAAUAUUUUUAGGUAUUAGAUAAGUUAUAUCAAACAUGCACGUAUUACAUAUAUAGAUGGAUUAUAAUUUAAUAUCAACUCCCAUAAUUAUUAGAGUUAAGUCUUCUCUUAUACUAGUAACAUUACCCACCCCUUGGGGACUUGGAACUCAUAUCCUAAAUGUUGAGGGCAUGCGUUCUCACCUAUACCCUUAGAGGGAAGUCACCAUAAAUAUCUGUUUGCGGAAGAGCAAUAUUCACCAUACAAAGCCUCUAGUUGGAUAAGCCCUGUCCUUUUUAAGUUUUUCGUUUUUUUGAUUACCCACACACACACACAAAUCAUAAUUGAAGCGCCAUAGAUAUAACUAGGAGAACUUGCAACGAGAAGCUGCUGGCAUCUCCCACACAAGCUUGAAAAAGUAGCCAGUAAGAGUUGUGCACGGAGGGCAAAAAAAAAAAAAAGCAUGGGAAAUAAUAAUGUGAUGGGAUUGAGAGGUGGUGUCUUAGCAGCGAUCAUAGUUAUGAUGAUACUCUUCUUCUCCGCGAAUCAAUCUUGUGCUGCAGGCAACAUUACUAAUUUCCAUAUUGAUCCUGAUGUGUUGUUCUUUCAUGAUGAUCCAGAAUUGGAAUUGGCUGCUGCUCCGACUUCUAAUAAAGCAUUGGAUCCCAGUCAAGCAUUCGGUUGCGGAAGACCCGGAAGCAUUCGCUCUUGUCCCCCUCAUCCCAAUGCCCCCAAAAAGCCCGAUCAUUGCGCACCUCCCCCCGGCAGCACGUAUGCCCCAGCCAAACGAGAUUGCUAGCUAGUUUAUGAUACAUCUUUAAUCUGCAAUCUUCAUCUUUAUCCUCAACUAUGCCAUGAUGUGGGUUUAUUCUGCAUAUGCAUGUUGUAUUUAAUUUAUAUAAGUAGCUAUAAUUAAUUAAUAAUCUCUCUUUCCCAUCCCUUCUUAAUUCUAUCUGUCUAUAUAUUAUUAAUAAUUAAGCCUUAAGCUUGUACUGCUGCAUCCAUGCAUAAUUGCAUAUGCAUUAAUAAAUAAAUUAAUUGAAACUUGUAAUUUGUUUAGCACUAAUUAAUUCGUUGUUAAAUUAGCUAAGGUUACUCCAUCUUGAUGCCAUCGUUCAUGUUCACUCAUUUCAAUUCUACCAUACUCGUCCUGAAUUUAUUAACUUUCCAUGUGCGUGCGUGUUAACAGCCUGGAGAUGUAAUUAAUUAAUUGAUUAACCAUUGAUGGCAUUUUGCAUCGAGCUGGACCUACUCUUAAUUACCGGCCUCUCGAAGGGAAACCCGCUACGAUAUAAAUCAAACAACUGAACGUACACCUUCAUUAGAUUUCCUGCAAUAAUCCCUAACAUUCAAUGAUUUAUCUGCUCCCUCCCAUCAUGCCUUAAUUAAUUGUUACCACAACAUCAUCCCGAAUUUUGUAAUUACAAUUAAUUAUAUAUGUUAGCUAUUUUUCUUUUUAAUAAAUAAUUUUACAGACACAGACACAAUUAGCGUGGCAUAUGGGAGGAUGUUUAGUUGAAACUUGGAAGCGAUAUCAAUUAAUCCAUCAUGCUUUUGUCCAACUUCUACAGAUCUUCACGAUUAUGAAAUCUAUUAUUUCUUUUCCAUUCACUUCUUGUGAUACAUUGUCCGCCCCACGUGUUAGCCUUUAAUUAUGCCAUCUUGCAACAUAAAGCCCAUUGUUUGAGAAUUAAUCUCAGUUAAAGGGGCAGCUGAGACUUGAGCCAUGAACUUUGAUGGUCACGUAGGUGGUGUCGUCCAUGUGCCAAGUAUAAAUCAAUCAAGCUUUUAAGUAAUUAUUGGUUGGGCGAAAAUGAAAGCAAAGUGCAUAUUUAUGACUAGCUGUAGAAGAGAGCGAAAGGGCAGAACGAGCGUAUAUAGGGAGCUUUUGAUGACUUGGCUCAAAUAAAGGCAGUUUUAUAUUUAUACACGGAGAAAUUAUAAAAGUACAAGUCGUUUUGGGUCAUCUUGAUUUUUGCCCCAGAUCAACUUUUUUUCAAAUAGUUUUAUUUAAGUGGUCAUUCAAAUUCAAAUUCAUGGGGAGAUUAGUAAUAAGAAAAGAAAUUUAGACUUUACCCACCCCUUUAUUUUUAUCAGAAUGAGACUAAGUACAUUAAAACUUAUCAGAUAGAACAAAUUCAGAAUAUUUUGAAGAAUGGCAAUUACAAAGACCGCCAGACUUAUAUUUUUCCAUGAGAAUUAUGUGUUAUGUGGAACUAAUUUUAAUUUACUUUCGUGAUCUUGUUACAAUGUUAGCUCUUUGUUCAUGAAUUGAUUAAUACGUGUUUCUUUUUACUCAAAAGUCUUCAUCUUAUUAACUUGCAUCAUCUUUUUCUUCUUCUUUUUCUCCGCGUGGUCUUCAAUCACCUAGUUUCUCUCCUAUAGGAUGAGCAUUAAUACCCAUCCGAAAAUGCAUUGGUUUGUCGCUGUUUGAUAAAUGACAAGCGGAUUUCUCGUCCCACAAUUUUUUUGGUCCAAAUGAGAAAUAAUAUGGUAUCAACUACUGUAUCUUGACUGGUAUUAUUUUAAGAAAUAGCAUUUGCUUACUAUUUGACUUAACAAAACAAUAUCCAGUGCGCUUGUAUUAACCCUGCUGCGUUUUUUUCACAAUAUCUAUUUCUAUUCUUUGCUGAGGACUUUUGUGAAUCUGUGAUAUAAGCUGGCGGAAUCGCUGCAUCCAAAUUUAAUAUGAGAAAACAUAUCCUCAAGCUAGCCCGCUUAACGCGUAGCGGAUAUUAGUAAUAAGAAUGACCAUAGCACAGCCACAGAAACGGCGCAGCCCCAUUCUAUCAUUUUUGUGCCCCCUCCUCAAACUUUUUUGAUAAUAAUUUUUUAUAUCACUCUUUAUUUCACCAUACUCUAUUUUGAUUAAUUCGAUUUAUUUCUCAAAUUACUCCCAUUAAAAAUAUUUUAUCUCUGUUGUUUCUCACUUGCUCUUCUCAUUAUAUUUCAACUAAUGGUACAACAAUCGAAAUGGAAAAUUUGGAAUCAAAAUCAAUGACAUGUUUACUUGCAAAAUUAAGGUUUGGGAUUGGAACUGAAGUAGUGCCGGACCCACAAAUUUGAUAAUCACUACCAUAGUUCUGAUUCCAAAGCGAGGUGUUUGGAAUCUGAAUUCGAUUUCUAUAACUACCCAUUUUACUCCCAUUAAACUUUUAUAAUCUCUAAAUUACUCUCAAUUAAGUUCUAUCAUUUUUUUCUUUUUGGUUCCCAUGGAAUUUAUCAAAAAAAACUCAAAUUUUUUGAAUUAUUUGCAAAUAGGUCCUUUAUUGUUUAUAAUAAUGUAAUAAUAAUAUUAUAUUAUUAUCAUUAUUAUAUUUAAAAUUUAUUUAUUUUAUUAUUUUAAUUAUUAUUAUUGUCAUUAAUUUCAUCAUCAUCAUUAUUAUUAAAUUUUUUUAUUUAUUUUUCUUUUAGAAUAACAUGGUACACAUAAAUAGCUAGACAAAGAGAAUCUCUUGUAUAUAUCAAGAGAUCUUACAAAUUAAACUGAACCAAACUGAGACCAUCAUACAAUUGACGGGUAAUAACAAUACCCAUACUUUUAUUUUCUUAAACAUAACAUAAGAGACUAAUACUGCAUAUUCUUAACCAGUGUGAUCAAGAUUUCUUCCAUAUUGCGGGACCACAAGAAGAUCAAUAUUUCCAUUAAUUUCAUCAUCAGCAAUAAGUGAAAAAAAUGGGGGACCUACACCCUCCGACCAAUCGGUAUAACCUGAAAAAUUCAUUUUUUUUUUUUGGUUUUGACCAUGAGGUAUCCUGGGGAGGGCCCCAACUGUGGGAGGCACCUUUAAGCCUGUACCACAACCCAGACUAGAAGUCCCCGCUCGAACCGAGAGGCACAGGUUCUCCCAACAAAGGCGACUUCCCUGCUACUCGAACUGAAAAAUUCAUGUUAUAAAACUUAAUCACAAAUACACAUAUUAAAAUAAGAAUUAUAAAUGACAUAAGAAUUAUUUGAAAAUGCAUGGCCUAUGUAUAAACCUGCGCAAGGAGUUCCCAUAAUCUUCAAAUCAGGAAGGCAAAAGAUUUCUGCUGGCUUCGACUGAACCGUAUUCAAAACUCAAAAGGUAAGUAGUUGUGCUUGAGCGAGUUCUUAUUUCUGGUUUGAUCUGAUAUAUAUAGAUCAAGUAGCCGACACUACGGUGCCAACGUGGCAAAGUAACAAGUUGUGCAUGGUAAAGAUAAUGGAUCAGUGGUUCUAAUUUAAUCGUACAAUAAGUAGGGAAGGUCAACAGCUCUAUAUGGUUAAGUUAGUGCAUGUGUGAU
rnacentral:lncRNA from 1 species